rnacentral:lncRNA from 1 species
AAAUUAAAACUCUAACAUUCCUCCCUUUACCUCUAUCUCGUCUCUCAUCCCCCAGCUUUCUCUCUCUCUCAACUCCGGCCAUAGAAACACGCCCUCCCUCUGUCCUCCGCGGCCGCAGCAACGACAGCCACCAAGCUCGUCACACUUCCCUCGUCUCCCUUCCCUCGUCUCCCUCUCCCCCAUCUCUCAAUUCUUAUGAAGAAGACACAAAGCCCCAAAUUUACUCACAAAAUCGUGCCCUAGCUGCUCCUCCGGCGAAUCGCCGCCGCCAGUGGAGGGUCGGCGAGGUGCAGCCCUUCCCUCUCUCUUCCUCUUCACUCAAUACUUCUCAUUUUCUCAAACUCCCAACCUCAAAAUCGUACCGAGCCCUAAUUAUUUCUCUCUACCUGAACCCAGCGAUGUCACCGCGGUUCCAGUUCGAUGUACCGUCGUGCCAUCGACUUGGGUUCCACAGAUUGUGUUUUGCUUCAAAGAAAAUCAGUAAGGGCUGUCGUCGACGCUAGGUCCUGAAACGGUGAGGUUCGCCGUUCUAACUUGAUGGGAACAGGGCAGUCGGGCUUCCUAAGAGCUAAGUCUUACUCUUGUCUCAUUUCUUAUCCAUUGUGAUAUAGUAUCAAUGUAAGCAUGUUGACUUCUUUGAGUAAGAAAAUAUCAGAACUUAACAUCUAUCAGUGUGAGUAUGUCGUGGCUAAAAUUUAUGUUCGAUUUGUGCUAUGUGGUCCCUUUUGCUUGUCAGUAAAAUCUGUUGAAUUUAUAAAAAAUUUACUAGGAUUUUAGGUGGUAGAAACCAUAGAUUUUGGGGAUUUUUUUUUCUCUCAAAUUCAACAUAUAUGCGAAAGGUAAAACACCCUACUUUUUCAAGUGUCCUUAUCUCUUUGCGUCGAUGCUUAAUUAGUUCUUUUAGUUGUUUACCAAUGCAUCCAUGCACAGGUAGUCAGGUACCUCUUGUUAUUUAACCAUAAUAUUUGACCUGAAGGUGGGGAGUAAUCAUUGUUUGCAUUGCUGGAUAUCUAUUUUCUCUGAGAAUGACUAAUCUUUAGUUGCUUCAGGUUGUUUCUGCAAUGGUAAACAAUGACUUAAUGAGCAUACCUCUAGAGGUGGGAACAUGAACAGUUGGGUUGGUACGUUGAACCCGAACAGGGUCGAGCCCUAACCUUGGCCUGAAUCAACGCGUCAGUUCAGUGCACCUGGGUGACCCAUGUACAUGCCCACUGCAUGCCAACAACUGCCAAUUGUUUUAUGUGGCACAACUUUCGCCCACUGCAUCCACGUACACACUAUACGGAACUAUGCUCGAUGCAGUACCGAACCACUCGGACCGUCACCAAGCCGCUUUCACGAAUUACUUUGUUAAAAUUAAAGGCUCACCGCGAUGAUGCGCACAUGCAUCUCAAAGUGUCCAUUGCGACGUGCCUGUACCCGUGCUCGAACUAAGAAAUUGAUCUAGUCAUAAAAUGGUUAACACAAACGACCCACUAACUAGCUAGGGUGCACCACAGUGGUUCAUACUUGAUUUUUCCUUUCUAUUGAAACAACACUUAUAAUGCUCAUUCAUCCUAACUCGGAAUACAAUAUGAGACUUCUUUAUUCAUUCAAUAUGGAAUACCGUCAUUUCCUACAUUCUCAAGCACAAAUUUUUAUGUAUUAAUUAUCCAUUCAUCAUAUAUAAUUCGGAAACGAACUAUUAAAUACAUUAAAUUUACAUAAUUCAGAUGUAGAUUCCAACAAUCCCCGAGUUACCAUAUAUACUACUCCCUCCGUCCCAAACGAAAUGUCUUGUUUUCCUUUUUGGACUGUCCCAAACGAAUUGUCAUGUUUCCUUUUUUGGCAAUACACACUCUCUCUAUACUUAAUAUUUAAAUAAUUUCUACCAAUCCACUUUAUCUACUUUAUACACAUUUCUUAAUCUCUGUGCCGAAAAGAAAUAGUAAGACAUUUCAUUUGGGACGGAGGGAGUAUAUAAUUAUGAUUUCAUAACUAUUUAAUAUACAAUUUUCCAACACAUCUAGCAUAAAAUGAAGUGAUUAUUAUGUUAAAAAAAAUUGUAAAACAAGUUAAAAUACAACAAGCUAGAGGUUAAAAGUGUUUUUUGAGCAAACUGAUCCACUAAGUAUAAUGGUCGUCUCCAAAUUGCUCUUUUUUGGUCGAUUCCAUUUCUUAUUAUCAAUCAACAAGUUAAAAUACAACAUUGCUACUAUCCCAAUAAUGUAACUAUUUUUAAUUUUGUGUUUGAAUUCAUUGUAAUAAGUUCAUAUUAUAGUUGUGUAGCUCACUUGGACAUGUAUGGAAACAUUUAGCCCAAACGUCAUUCAAUUCUACGAAUAUUUCAGUCCAGUGGGCUUAAGCCAUUUAACUUUUUAUACUUUUUCUCAAAAAAAUAAAAAUAAAUAAAUAAAUAAACUUUUUAUAGUACUAUAAUCUAUAUCUAUAUCGAUGAAAGCCGAGUUUUUUUUUCCUUCUAAAUUUUCUCUCCCUCUUAAUUUUUUUGAUCAAAUUUUAUAUCCCUUUUUUUUCUAUUUUAAUUCUGUUCAAAAAUCGUUAACUUCAAUUCAUGAAAAAAAUUAUUCAAUAUGCAUAUUAAAUUAAAGAUGAUGAGAAGAUCUUUAAUUUGAUGAUACAAUUAUAAAAAAUAAAUUUGAAAUAAUAAAUCAUGAUCGUUUAAAGUCUCAAAAUUAAGUUUUAUUUGCUCUCAUUUAUCUCUAAUGUUGACUCUUACUCUUUUUCAUUUUGGUUUUGUUGAUUGGUGAAAAAAUAAUUAGAUGCCAUUUCUGUCUUUGAAAAAAGUUUACAGGAUUGUUAAUUAAUUAUCAUUAUUUUAAAUAUAAAUAUUUUAAAUUAUAGUAGUAGUUUUUAAUGCAAUUAAGGAGAAGGAAAUUUGUAAUAAUUUAAAUCUGAAUUUAUAAAUAAAAAUUUGGUUUUAUAUAUAUAUAUUAAAAUUAGAAUUUAAAUAUUAUAUAGAUUUAUUUAAUUACGGGUUAUAUAAAUAUAUUUAUUGUUAUAUUUCUUUUUUAUAGUAUUCAUAUUUUUUCUGAUUUUUUAAUUAAUUUUGGACUAUUUAAAUAUGAACUUUUAAUAAUAAUACAAUUUGGAGUUUUAAGAAUCCAAAAAAUAGAACCUUGUAUAGAACCGAUGAGGUAUUGUAUAGUUGGAUGAAAAUGAGGUCCUUUAAAUAUGAACUAUUUAAAUAUGAACUUUUAAUAAUAAUACAUGGCAUAAAUAUAUUCGUUUGGCAUCAAUAUGCUCGUGUGACAUAAAUAUGACCUUGUAGAAAAGUAGAACCGAUGAGGUAUAUUGUAUAGCUAGUUGGAUGUAAAUGACGUCCUUUCAUGCCUAAUGUUUGAUCGGAAAAUAGACAAAUAUGCAAAAUGAGAAAAAAUUAAUAGUUGAAUAAUUUUAAUAAAUAUUUUAAAGCUUAUGUGCAAAAUGAGCAUUUGUUGAAUGUUCUGUAAUUUAUAUGCAAGUAACCCUUAAUUGUAUAGGAGAAGAAUUAGAUAAUAAGGUAUUUUUAUGUGAGAAUUGUGAGACUAUUACACAAAUCUAUGAAAUUCAUGAAUAAGAAAUUACUAUAGCGAAUAAGGAAAUAUAUAUGCAUGCACAAUCAUAUUAAUUAAUUAAUUUUCAAUCACAUUAUUCAUGUGUUAUAUCCAUUUGUUCAUAAAUUUUAUGUGUUUUACAAAUAAAGUGUUACAAUUCUUUACCAAAGAUAUGAUACUAUUAUUAUUAAUAUUCAAUCAUACAUCAUCACCCAUGCACAGUAAAUACACGUACAGAUCAUACGACAGAAUGUGCCUAGCUCAUAUGACUCAUAAACACGAUCCAGUCAUGCAUCAAAUUCUAUAUGCUAAAAUGAAAUUAUUGCAAAAUUAUAUUGCUAUACAAGUAAUGAGUGUUGGGAUAAUUAAUAAAAGAUGAUAUACCCGAGUUAAUUAAAAUGCAUAAAUGAAGAAACCUUUUAUAACGAGAUUCUGGUAACAUAAAAAAGAGAUACUACGAAAUAGAGAAUCCGAAGCCGUAGAGUUAAUUCCUAGGACUCCCUUUUGGGAAAUAGAGGAGGAAUAAUAUCCUGCAAGAGCCCAUAGUCAUGAAACUGUUGCUGUUGCUGCUGCAGCUGCUGCUGCUCAUUAUGAUUGUACAAAUUGCUGCUAUUGCCACCGUAGAGGUGAGGCAUUUGGAGCAAGAGUUCUUGAGGGAAAGCCGGCGGCCCUAGCAUCGAUUGCCCGAAUAAUCCGACCAUACUGCCGCGCAGGGUUGCCGGAACGUGGUGGUUGUGCUGCCCUUCGUAGGUGGUUAUCACAAUCGAAGGAUCUUGGAACGAUCUCUCCACGCGUUUUUUCACCGGACAUUUCUGUGUCGUGCAUCUGUAAUAGCUUCUGCGAUAUGAUAUGAUAUUAUGUUAUUUUUACUACUAUAUGUAAUAUUCAAAUUCACUCAAUUAAUAAUAGAUGUAAAUUACAAUUUAUUACUAUAUUUUAUAUAUAUUUAUAAUAAACAUUAUCAAACCAAUACAUAAAUAAAUAUAAUAGUGGUAGACAUUGGUAGGACAGAGGGAUUCGAAAAGUAAUUAAUAAUAACUAAAAGCACAUGAAUUUGCAACCGUGAUUUAUCAUUCAGUGCACCGGAAUUUGAAUCUAACUACACAGUGAUAUAAAGUAAAAAUGAUGAUCGUGAUAAUGAAAGAAUAUAUAAUACGUUGUAGCAAAAAGUUUGGACUGUUUGCAUGAGUUUGUUAUGAAAAAUAUUGUUCAUAAUAGUUAGCUUGGAUUUAGUCCACACAAACAAAUUAACAACCACCAAUCAUAAUUUUCCUCUUAUAAUAUAAUUAAGUUCAUAACUAGAUUUUAUCUGAAAAUCACACAACUAGCUAGCCCACCUGCAUGAUUUCUUGCGUUCAUACUUCACAUCCAAACGUUGUAAUAAUCGAAAAUUAAUCAUCAGUCGAGAAUCCGACAUCCAAGGCUACAUUACCACACUGAAUAAGGUGGAGACUCUCUUAUAGAAUUUCAAAUAAUGUAACUGCACUGUAUAUUCCAUUCGAUGAGAUGGUUCAGCUUUAGUUUCCAUGUUGAAUUUUCAAUCGUAGGCCAAAAUUGAAACUUUUUGCAACAUUACAGAUUUUUUUUUCUUUUUUUUAAAACAUUUAACAAAACAAAAUUCAUUUUUCUUUUUUUAUAAAAAAAGGCUCGAAACAGUACAAACUAUACUCAAACCUUAAAAAAUGAAAUGAAAAUAUAACCUCGGAUAGGGGCUGUUUUUCACUGCCUUCUGCCCAUAUUUUCUCCAUCUAUAUCCAUCUUCUAAGUGAUCAACUUCACUCUUUGUCAUGAAAGCAAAUCGUGGCUGUCUUUCCUUCUUCUGCUCUCCUUUCUUCUUCCCUUUGCUACCCCUUUAUUUAAUUCCAAAGAUACACAUAUACAUAUCAUCAAUAUAUAUUUUAUUUUGUCUCAGGUAUAUACAUGUAGAAGAAUAAAAAUAUACAUACUCUUUCUUGGAGUUUUCUUCAUCUCCAUGAGCAAUGAAGGAUUCCUUCUCUUUCUUACUUUUAUUUGAAUCCUCUUCCGCCGCGGCCACCUCAGUUGAGGAGGAGGAGAUGGAAGAGUUGGGCGUAGCCGGGGUUUCGUUGCCCCCCGCAGCCUUCUCCUCCUCUUUGGACGUCGGCGGCGUCGGGCCGCAGGCGGCGGAGAGCGAGUUGUGAUCGGUGGGUCCAUGCAAGAACUCGGUGAAGCUAAGGUACGACGAGGGAUCGAACAUGUGGAGGUGAGCAUCGGCGCCGGAGUAGGGGAAGGUGGCAGCACCGCCGUGGCGAUCUUCGUUGUAGGGGUGGUGGUAGUAGAAUUCUCUCAGAUGAUCUUCAGACAUUAGAUCAGCUGUGGAACAACAAGUGAGAGAGAGAGAGAGAGAUGGAAGUUUAGGCAGAGCUUAGUAUGCUGCCUUUAUUUAGAGCUUUGACGAUCGAGGAGAAGAUUUUGGUUGAGGUUUGCAGUCGUUGUAAAAUUGCUUCUUUGUUAAUUUAUAUAUUCGCGUGGGGGUUGGCCAGUUUGAAUUUUCAAUCGUAUUUUAUUUUAUUUUAUUAUUAUAUCUUAGUUAUAGCAUACUACUAUUAGUUGUUAUUUGUUCGGACAAGAACUAACAUAUUUUCGUGACAUGUUUUUAUCAUUUUAUAUAUGUAAAAAAAAAAGAGGGUUAUUGUCAAAUAGUGAAUGCAUUUUGAUCAAUUAAUUUAUUUGCAAUUUUAACACGAUUUUAAAUUUAUUUAAAAAAUUAUUUUAAUUAAAAUUAUGAAAUAAAUCAAAAUUCUUCUGUUAUUUGAUAAUUGACCAAAAUAGAAGAUGUAGUGUGUUAAGAGAUGAAAAUAGUUUGAAAAUGGAGGUACGUAGCGACCCCACUUUAUAAAAGGGGGUUUGACAAAACGAAGUCGAUAGAGGAAUGGAGUCAUUCGCCACUAUACGUUUUCUUGACGAUGAAUUAUUCCAUUUUUGCUGCUACUAUCAAUCAAUCUACACCUUUUCUUAAAAUAAAAAAUAAUCAAUUUGCACCUUUUGGUAUCACAUGUGUGUUUAUCUUAGAUAUUUAUACAUGACAUUAUUUUAAGUCUGGUUAAAGAUUUUUGGGAUGAAUCAAUUAUUUGGAUUUAAUCUUAUAUUUAAGGUUAUACUAGUAUUUUCCCUCGUGCGAUGCACGAAAAUAAUUUUGUAUAUAUAUAUAAUAAGAUAUAUAUACUAUAUAUAUAUAUUAAAUAGUAAAUCAAUUAUAAUAGUUAUAAAUAUUUGAAAAAUUACAAGUACAAAUACUUUUUAUAAUUAAAAUAUUUGUAGUAGAAUAUAUGAUAAAAUAUGUAAUUUUCACAACGCUAGUAUUUUAUAUUUUGUAGAGUAUUUUCAUAUAAAUGUUAAACCAAACAUUAAAAGAAUAAAAAUUAAUUGUAAGCUAAUAAACAUACCACCUAGAUUUUGCAUACCGAAAAAGUUUAUUUCCCCAUCAACUAUUAUACAAAAAUACAUUUAAUUGCAUGUUAUAAAAAAAAGAGCAAUUAAAAAUAAAUAUCGUACUGAUUUUGAUAUUUAUGUCGAAGAACAAAUUACUCUCCUACGACUCCUCCAAUGUUGAAUCAACAUUUCGGUCGAUAUAAUUUAUUUCUUUAAAAAUGAGUGGGCAAAUUGUGCAUCUAACAUUACUAUGUAUAGUGUAUCCAACUAACCAUCAUUACAUUUUUUUUUAAUAUAAUAUGUAUGUCAGUUAAUGCAUCAGCUAGCAUCUAAAACAUGCAGAUUAAUUACUCAUUUCCCAUUAAUUUUCAAGAUUAGUGUUAAAAAUGGAUUAACAAAUUCAAGUAAAAAUAUAUAAAAAAAGAAUUUUUGUAAUGUUUAUGCAAUACCUUUGCUAGGCAUUUCUUCAAUAUUUAAAUCAAUAAGUCCACCAUCUUCGAACAAUUCACCAUUUGUGGAAGAAAAGUUUUUAUCCACUAAUUCGGCAUUUGCUUGAAUUAAUAUCAAAUAAUUGUGUUCAUUUAAUCUCACAGAGCAAAUUAUGAUGAUAAUUGAUAAUGAUUAAUUAAAAAAAUAUCAUGGCCAACAAACUUAUGAAUAAAAUUAUCAUCUCAGUUACAAUAUAAUAAAUUUUAUAUGAAACAAAUCAUAUAUAAAAAUCAAUAAAUUAACAUAAGAACUAAAGCAAAUAAAUUAUUUCAAAUUAUUUAAUUUGUGUAAUCACCUGCCAACUAAGAAUAGUGUCCAUAAUCAUUUCUUUGAUCUAAUUUACCAUUCCAUUUAAAUUCGUUUGAUUUUUUUCUUGGUAGAAAAAUAUUUCAAAUUUCAUAUAAUACACAUUAAAUUUAUAAUUAUGGUAAUAAAAAAAAUGAAAUACAUUUGAAUUGUCUUUUAUGCAUAAACUUAUGAUGAAUGAGGUUAUUCCGAGAAAAAUGAAUGUUCUAAGUUAGAUCGUCAAAUUCUAAUAUGAAUUAUGUGAUAAUUUUUCACCAUAAAAAAAUAUUAUAUCUAAAGCAUUUUUCAUUGAAUAUGCAUUAUAUAUAUAUAUAUAUAUAUAUAUAUAUAUAUAUAUAUAUAUCAAUAUAUAAGUGAAUUACGGUAAUACAAGUGCCCAUCUUUUUGAUAUACAGUAAAAUACUUCUUCGAAUAUACAAUCUAAUUUUUCUACCUAAUUAUCUAUAGCAUGUGCAUUAUUUAGAGUAUCAAUUUGAAUUUAUAAUUUGUGAAUAUGGAUAUACAUAUAAAAUUAAAUAAAAGACCAUUCAAAUAUAGUUUUAGUAAUUGAUCGUUAGUUUUUAUAAUAUAUUAGUGGAUUUAUUUGAAUUUUUUGAAUGGGUUAAUGUGUAAGUGAGAUAGUGGGGUGAGUGGGAUAUAAUUUAUUUGUAACCUUCAUGUUGAAUAUAUUUUCAAAAUUGCCAUUCAAAUCAAUUUCAAAUUGAUUUGAAAUCAAUUUCUAAUUGAAAACUGCUGUUUUAAUAUAGUAUAGAUUUGUAAUUUAAUUAAUUAGUAAUAUUUGAGUUUAAAUCAUGAGUUGAUGAAAUCUUGAUGCGUUUCACUGUGUUAUACAAAAAUUCCUCAUAUUUUUGAAAAUUUUAUUUCGAUAAUAAGGAAUUAAAAGUAAAUUAUAUUUUUCUCCAGCUGCAUACGCGAUCAUCUCCAUGUCGAUGAUGAGCGCAUGCAUUAAGUUGUGCGCUGCAUUCCUUUUAAUUAAAAGUAAAAUCACCUCGUCCUUAUUUUAGAUUAAUAUUUAUAUUAUCAAACUCCACGAGAUGAAAGUAGUUCCAAACACCUUGUACAAACAAAUACGUCAGUCAAUAGAAUUGUGAAAUCGGUAUGUAAAUAACAUAUAUACACAUGCAUGUACGUACCGGUACGUAUAAUGUAGUAUUAAUUUUUAAGAUAAAACAUUGAAUUUUAAGUACAUAUACUAUAUUUUCACGAUAUAGCUCAUAUUUUAUCUUCAAAAUAUAUUUGAUCUCAACCCUUAUAAUAGUAUAUAUAUUUAAAUAUGAACUGCACAAUGUGUGUAUGUAGGACACAGACCUUCUAAGGCAUGUUAUUACAUACAGAUCUGCAUGAUGUUGUCACAUGGACAAUUCUUAAUUUAUUACCUGAUAGUAUGAAAAUGCAUAUUUGUGUGCAACUUUAUGUAUAUGUGUGUUUAUUUAUAUGCAUAGUGUUCAAUUUAUGCAUAAUUAAGGCGACGAAUGGUGAGCCGCAAGAGGCAUUUGACAGGUCGCAUAGUGCUAUGCAUAUAUGUGAUUAUGUAUAUGCAUAUUUGUGUUCAAUUAUAUGCAUAAUUAAGGUGGCGGCGGUGCGGAAAAAAAAAUUCAAACCAAAAAAAGUAAAAAAAAAAAUAGUUUUAAUUUUUAAAGUUUUAUUCCUAUGUUACCCAUGUGUGUAUUUUGUCUUGAAAAGCCUCUGCCACAUGUCGCGUGCUUAGUGCGCCACUUAAAUAAAAUAUAUGAUCUAGAUUUGGAACUAUAUACUACGUGGGAGUGGAUACUAUCAGAUCUCACUCAUAUAUACUACUCUAUCAGUUCCAUUAGUAAUGUCUCAUUACUUUUAGGCACAGAGAUUAAAGAAUAUGUAAUUAGUAGAUAAAGUGUAAUUAGUGGGGAUUGUUUUAGUUAAAAUGAUUAAAUAAUUAGUGUAUUUUAAAAUAAUAUUUAAACAAUUAUUAAUUACACACUUUAUCUAUUAGUUACACAGUUCUUAAUCUAUGUGCAAAUUAAUGAGAUUACUAAUGAGAGUCAUGAGACGGAGUUGGGUCAUAUACGAGCUUAGAUGAGAUUGGAAUUAAUUGGGCCAAAUUUAGCUCACACAAUGUCAAGGGUUUGUUGAGAUUCUCGUGGCUAAAAUUAUGCUUCUAUUCUUGUAAAAGAUAAGCUAUAAAUAUCUCCUUCAUCUAUUGAGAAAGUUAAUACUCUUCGAACAUAUUUCUCGUUUUGAAUUUAAUUUCUUUGACUUCGGCGUCGGAGUCUCAGUUUUUGUACACUCCUUAUCCGCAAUAACUUUCUCAGUUCUUUUAUCUGCAAUGUAAUUCUAGCUAUGGAAGAACUUCGAAGAGUUCUUAUAAUAAUAUUGAGCGGCAUUUAUUCUUAACAUGGAGUACAUUAUUCACGCGAAUUUAUGAAACAUCCACAUCAAAAUAAUUAGCAAAAUUGGAUGAAUAAAUGAUAUUUCUUUCGGUCCAUGAAAGUGAUAUUUUUUAUGGGAAUAUAUUUUAAUUAAAUUGAUAGUAAUUUUUAUGUAAUGGAGAAAGAGUCACGUCAUUGUAUGGAAUAAGUGAUUGAGAUUAUAUUAUUAUUUUUUUUGUAAAUAUUUAUAAGAAUAAAAAGUAAAGAAAAAAUACGGGAUUAUAUUUUAAAAAGAAAAUAUUACAUUUUUAAUGAACACUAGAAAUAAUGAAGAUGUCGUGCUUUUCUUGAACGGGGAAAUAAUUUGGGGAAGGAUGGUAGAGAGCAAAAGUCAACGAUGACAAAAUUUGUAUGGGUAAUUAACAACAGUCGUAAGGUCGGCAUAGGCAUAAGUGAGCAAUUUGGGUCAACAUCGGAUGUGUGGUCUGAACACGUGUCUUUACUACUGCACCGUCAUUUGACCAUGACUACCACGUGGGUUAUGCUCUGUGGUUCGCUCACAUUUCGGCUCUCGUCCACAUUAUUAGGAUUUAGGAGGUGAUUGGGUAUAAUUUCAUUAAAUGGGAUCAUCUGUCCCAAAAUAUAGUGUGUACCACGUGUACCACUCUUCAUUUCUUUAUAUUUAUAAAUUAUUUUUUAUUCUAUUUUAAUUUAUUAUGCUUUUAUAUAUUAUAAAGAUAAUUAGCAAGGGUUCACUCAUCCAUUUAGGGUUUAUAAUUAUUUUUUUAUAUUUAUUUGAAUUAAUAAUAUAUUAUUUGGGUUCAUUAAUUCAAAGUUAGGGUAUAUAAUUUUUAAAUUUUAAUUUUUCAAUGAUAAAUACUAAUUAGAGUUUAUAAUAAUAUAAUAAUUUUUAUUUUUAUAAAAAAUAAUUUAUAAAAUAAAAAAUAAAAAGUGAUACACAUGGUACACACAAUAUUGUGGGAUAGAGGAUCCCAUCUGAUAAUUUCAUUUGCUUCUUAUAAGGUGCUACUCAUCUUAUAGCUUCUCCUCUUUAAUACAUUGAUUUUAUAAAAGGGCUCUAUAAUUUCUAUUUUUAUUUUAUUUUAUUAAAAUUAAAUUCUAAUAAUAUAUUAAUUAAAAUAAAAUAUAAGAUUUAAAAUUAAAAACAUUACAAUAAUUAAAAAUUAGAUAAAAAAAGUUUAAAAGAAUUAAAAAAUUAUGAUUUUUAAAUAAAAAAAAUCAAAUAUCAAAAUAAAAAAUCAAAACACAAAAAUAAAAAAAAAACCUUACCCAAACCCCCACCGCCUAUUCUCAUUUCAUUUUCUUUUUCUCCUCUUUCUUCCCCUGUCGCUAUUCUCCUUUCCUUUUCUUUUUCUCCUCUUUUUUCCUCCAUUCUUCUCUCUCUCUAUACGCUUUCUACUCUCUUUUUUUUUAAUUAAAAUCCAAGGAGCGGAUAACACGCACCUCACAUAAUACACCCACCGUACCGGCUUCCUCCAUCGUCCUCGCGUCGAGUCGAGGGAUGCGCCAGCGAGCGGCUGCCCCCGGCGUGCUGCAUUGGUGUGGCGCACCCCACUGAAAAUGCUCUUAUUAACGAUUACAUUAACUUUUUUGCAAUGAAAUAACAAAUCAUCAUUAUUAUUGAAAUAAACACCGCAUAAUAUCCUUCUUGGAAACUUGUCAUAAUUAUUAUACAAAAAUCAUAACAUCAAGUCAAGAAUAAACUAUUUUCUUUAAUAUCUUAUAUACAUACGAACAAUUUUAAAGUUUAAACAAGAAUAGAAAAAAAAAUUAAUUUAUUAGAAUUUAAUCUAUUAGAGCACAAUACUGGAAAAACCAAGGAUGAUAUGUAUUGACUCCUCUAAAUCUUACCGAAAAAUAUAGCAUUUGCAUAUCACAAAUUCUUACCGAAGAACUAUAGCAUUUGCAUAUCACAAAGUCUUCUUUAUAUAUCAUGAUGUACGAUGCAGACAGUUCGGUUAGGUUUAUUCGAAAGCAGGGGCGGAUCUAGAAUUUGUCAAUAGGGAGGGCUGAACUAGUUGAAAGUAUUGCGCGGAGGGUUCGGGGGCGGUAGCCCCCGAGCCAAAAUUUUUUGGGUAGUCAUACUGUUUAUUUUUAUGUUCAAGUAAAAUUUUAAUGGAUAUAGGAUUAAAAUUCGAUCACAGAUUAUAAUAAAUAAUUUAAUAAUAUAUACAUUGAAAGCAUAUAAAAAAUGACCUCUAUAUAUUUUUUAAAAAAUUAAUCUAUCUUCUACAAGAAUAAAUUAAUUUUUAUUAUUAUGUUAAAAUUUUUUUAUCUUUCUCUAAAAAUUGGACUGGGCUAAGAGCUGAAUUAUAUAAAUAUUAGGCUAAAUAUAUUUAAUAUAUAUAGGGAAAAUUUUGGGGUUGCACUGGGCUGGAGCCCAGUGUAGCCCCUAUGAAGAUCCGCCCAUGAAUAGAACAAAUGAACAAUUUAUAGGGGUAUUGUUAGUACAGAAAUAGAAUAAAAUUAUAAUAUUAGUUAAAAAAUAAAAUAAAAGUAUAAUUUAUAAGUAAAUAUAUGAAAAAAAGGUAUGAUGUGAUGGUUGAAAAGAUUAAAUGAGACUCUUUUUUAUACACAAGCAAAAUGGUAAGUAAGACUUUUUUUACGUGGGCAGAGGGAACAUUUUGCAUUAAUAUAUUUCAUGUCGCAAAAACUCUUUUUUUUGAGAGAUUUUAAGUUCAGUCCCACCUAUAGGGUUAAUUCUCAAAAAAAUAUUUCAUGUCGCAGAGAUCAAAUAAAGGACCUACUUAAAUGCGUAUUUAAUUUUUAAUAAAUGUUGAACAAGACCAAGAUCAAUAACCUAACACCAACCACUGGGGGCCAUCGUUAUCUAAAUUUAUUUGACUAUUAAAUUAAAUUUUAAUUCUUAUGGUCUUAUUAGAGUAUCUGAUAGUGGAGACGCAUGACAUUUUAUGUGUUUCGAGAGUUCCGAUUUUAUGGUACAAAAAGUUUCAUGUGAUGGAUAAUUUAAGUUUAGCAAAUUAAAGUGAUCUACAUCUCGAAUGUCAACCUAUAAAAAUUAACUUCUUGUAACUAAUAGAACCAUGAGUUAUAUAAAAUUUAUACUUUUCUAGUUAUGAAAGUAAUACUUCUCCAUCUCAUGAUAGACUUAUGGUUACUUCUACAAAAAAUUUAGAAAUUACAGUUAAUUUAGUUUAAAUUAACAAUACGGUCUAAAAGUUGAUACCAACAUGUAUAUAUUACAGUAUAGUCAUUGGAUAAAUAUAAAUAUUUAAUUAUAUGACAAAAAUAUAAUAUUUGUGGAGUAGAGAGUACUUUCCAACUUCUAAGCUAAUAAGAUAUUACUAAACUGAAAUGAUUAAGGAUACCCCAAAAGAUUUAGAAACUUUAAAUAUCAAUCUUUUUUAUAAAAGAACUUGUAAACUUAAUCAAGUGAUAAACAUACAUUUUUUUUGUUAUGUUUUAAAGGUUAAUUAGAAGGUGGCCUUUUUCUUUCCUUUACGCAUUCUACCAAUUAUUGUUAGAUCAAUAGUUUAUUUUAAAUUUUGUAAUUUGAUUGUUACAGUUUAUGUUCUUAGUUUAUCGUGUUUUGAAUUUUUAUAGAUUUUUUUUUUAUUUAAAAGUUUUACAAUUAUUUUAAAUUAUUAUGAUUUAAAAUAAUCAUAUAUAAUGUUGUGAUUGGAGUGCUCAUUGAUAAACCAUUAAAAAUAAAUGUGAUUAAGUUAGCAUGGAUAUUGAUAAACGUAAAUAUCAUAUUAAUUAAAUUAUUAAACACUGAACUAUACAUUUAACAAAAAUAUACUCCCUCCGUCCCACCAUUUUAGUCCCCUCUCACUUUUCACACAUAUUAAGAAAAUGCAUUUAAUUUUUAUAUUUUUAUUCUUUUAUUACCCUUACUUUAUUUAUUUUCUACACAUCCUUUUCCUACAUUUAAGUUGAAGCAUUAAAUAAGGUUAAUUUAGUAAAAAUAAUAUUUUUAUAUAGUACUCCCUCCGUCCCGCGAGUCUUGACACGUUUGGGUUCGGCACGAGAAUUAAGGAGUUGUAGAUUAGUAUUUUAAGUGUAUAAUUAAUAAAGUAUAAAAUUGAUAAAGUAGGAGAGAGAAGGUAAUAAAAGUGAUAAAGUAAGAGAGAGAAUAUAAUAAAGGUGAUAAAGUAGGAGAGAAAAUGUAAUAAUUAUUGCCAAAAAAGGAAACGUGUCAAGAUUCGUGGGACGGCCUAAAAAGGAAAACGUGUCAAGAUUCGUGGGACGGAGAGAGUAUUAAUUAGUAAAGUGGACUAUCUUUUUGGGACAUCUCAAAAUGGAAUAAGAGAUUAAAAUGGUGGGACGGAGGGAGUAUCUCAUUUAUGAGAGACACCCAAGGGUUUAAAGCAUUAAAAUAGAUUUGUUGAUAGAAACCUAAGGGUUUAUAAAGAUAUAAUAAAUGCUGUAUAUAAAAGAAAAGGAAGAGAAUUUGAAUGUGUGUUGAAAUAUAACAAAAUUAAUUUUUAUUUAUAAAAAUGUAAAAAGAACAAAUUUUGUUUUUUUUUAUGAAUUUUAUAAUAUAUUAUAUAAAAAAUAUAAUGAUUUUAUUUAGGGUAAAUUAUAUAUCUAAAAAAAACUUAAAUGACUAAUAGAAUGAUAACAAGUGUGUUCAUUCCAUUGAUCAAAAAGAAUAAGAGACCCUUCAAAAAUGAAUUAUGUCCUUUUUUUAAAUAAUAUAGUGAUGUGGCGAUCGAUCACACCACUUCAAAGUUAUCGAAUAAAGAUGGUCUUAUAAUGCUAUUCAAGAAAUAGUACUCUCUUUGUCCCUCAAAAGUUUGCUCCAAGAGAAAUGACAUAAAUUUUAAUAAAAGUUGGUAAAAAAAUAUUUAAUGGUGGAAUUAUAUAUAAAAAUAAUGUUUUGAUUAUAAUUGUAAAAUUGAUAAUGUGAUUAUGUAUAAGAAAUUACUAGUGGUUGAAGUUAGCAAAUCGUCGAUGCAAUUACAGAUUGUUAAUUUAUUUUAAAUUUACAAGCUACAAUAAAUUAAUUCGCCUGAAAAAAGAAAAAAAACGAAAAAAGAGCAGAUAAGGAAAAGAAACAGUAGAGAGCACUAAAAUUACGGCGCAUUGCCGAAAAGCAAGUUGCAAAUUCACCUAAACUCACAAUUUCAAUCCCUAAACUAAAAGAAGAAAGACAUAGUAAUGGUUUUCAUGUCUUAAAAGAUUCAACAUUUUUGACCGUGAAGAUAUAAUUUGUUAUUUACCUAACAGCGACCAUUAUCACAAAAUAAUCGCAGUAGCGUGGUGCGAAUAGGAAAGGAGUUAAAUUACCUAUUUAGAAGAUGAUUUAGCUUAGAUUACAAGUGAUUCUCUUUAGUAAUUUAAGAAUAAAAUUUCAGAUAAGAAAAUGGCGAUGGUGGAAGGCCCAUUUGAGCAUAUGAUAGGCCACUUUUUAAUUGUUGUAUAUUUGGUUUGAUUAAAUGCGUGCAGGUUCCAGAAAGAAAGGGGCAAGAACAUACUAACAUCAUUCUUGAACUUCAUAAACGACAUCCUCCUUGUCUUUUGGUCUCUGUUUCACAGUUUCACUGUCCCAAUAAGCGAUUUCUAUAGCACUCUCUCUCUAAAAAUCUCGACUGUCCCCUAAUCUUUGAGGGCUCAGUGAUGUUGGUUUGCUAGAUUAGGCACUGCAAAAUUUUCAGGUACUCUGUUCUUCUGUUUUAUGCUUGUUGGGCUUAUUAAGAACCAGAAAAGAUCAAUUUUUGCAGCUGUUGUAUAUAUUGUUUUGUUGUAUUUUAAGUUUCUUUGAUGAUUCUGGUUGUUUUGUCGGCUUUUAUUGAUUAUUAAGAAUUGUGGGAUUUUCAUGUUCUGUUUUGCAAGCUUCAGAAUUGAAUUUAUGGUCACUUUUUUUUGCUGUCUCACAGUGAUUCUUUGUGUAUUGUUUCUUGCUAAAGUUGAAUUGCAAGUUUUAGUACUUUGGGAUUGUUAUGUUACUCUGUCAUGUUUUCUGUGACAAGAUUGUUAAAUCAUACCCAUUCUAGUCCCCAGAUUCAGUGACUGUGUGCCAAAUAGUGAUGAUUGUGUAGUGUAUAUGUGUUGAAAUCAACGUUUCCUAUGUCUGUUUUACAGAUAGUCCUUCAUGAAUCAUACAUUUGGUAAAGAAAGAAACUUGGCUUAUAGAGUUUAAGAUCAAUAGCUGUAUCCAAUUAGCCCAACAAGAUGGAACAGCACAAGUCUAUCCUUGAGGUAUUUCUUGAUGCUUCCUUUGGAACAUGUCUUUGAGAUUUAAUAUGUAUUUAAAUGUUACGAGGUUUUUGUUUUACAUCGAUAAUCACUAGCUUCUGUGUUAUGUUUUUGUCAUAGGUUGCUAAUACUGAGAAACAAAUGUUAGCAUUAAUCUACACAAAGGGUAUUUUACACGAUGAUGUUCUAGAGUUAUACCACCAAAUCCGCGCUGUGUAUGAGAAAAUUCUAUUGAACAGCAAUCACUUGCUCGAGCUUCAAGAAGUUGAGCAUCAUAUGUGGAAGCUGCAUUACGAGCUCAUCGAUGAAUUUCGUAAAAGAACUAGGCAAAGAUCUCAUAAUGGAGAGAAUACGAGGAACAAUAGUCCACCUGACAGGAUUAAUUCACAGAGCAGCCUUGAUAAAGGCUUGGAAGAAAUCAAGUCAUUCUUGUCUCAAGCAACUGAAUUCUAUAGGAAUUUGAUUGUCAAACUGAGAAGAACUUGUGGGCUCCCUGCAAAUGUCUUCCUUAACAAUAAGGAUCGCUGGUCAUCUUCCAUCGAGCCUAAGAAGCUUCAUGCAUGUCAACAUACAUGCCAUCGCCUCUUAAUUUGCCUUGGGGAUCUAGCUAGAUAUACUGAGAUUAUCAAGAAGCCUGAUGCCUGUGAGUGGUCAACUGCAGCGAAUUACUACCUAGAAGCAACCAGAACAUGGCCAGAUAGUGGGAAUCCCCAUAAUCAGGUACUUGUCCUCUCUCUAUCUCUCUCUCUCUAUAUAUAUAUAUGUAUGUAUGUGUGCGCUCAUAUAUCCAAAUAGCAGAUCUUAGAAUCCAACUAGUGCAUCUUUGUGGUGUUUCCACAAAUGAAUGUUUGCACACUCAGCUUAACUUUUAAGUUGAAUGAACCCCAACACUGUUUCAUACCUACUAGAGUCUGAAUCUAAACUUUUGAGCAUGCAUGCAGUUGGCUUUAUUGGCAACAUAUGUUGGUGAUGCUUUUCUAGCAUUGUACCACUGUAUAAGGAGUUUGGCAGUCAAGGAGCCUUUUCCCGACGCCUGGAGAAACAUUUUGUUACUAUUUGAAGAGGUAAAAUUUCAUAGUCUUCUCUUGCAAAUAAGUCAUCUCUUCCCCAAUACCUAGUUUUCUAUCUUUGAGAUUCAUGUUCCUUAUACAUUUAAAUUAGUUUUUGGUUGAGCUUGGUAGUGAUCUUUCAAUUGUUUCUUGUGGAUCUGCAGAACAGGUCUACUAAGUUGCCAUCUAUUUCAAUCGAGAUGCAGCUUGACUUCUUAAACCCUUCCAAAAGAAGUUACCUGCAGGAUACAUGCCUUGAAAAGAGUAACAGCAAAUCAGAAGACUUGGAUAGCAGCAUUUGCUCCGAAAAGUUCGACUUAUGGCCCCUUCUUGUUAGAACUAUAAGCUUCCUUUUAAUCCGAUCAAGGUACUUUUGGCUGUGUAUUAGAAUUAGAACCAUUCCUAUAGUACUUUCAUAUUUAGUGUUAAAUCAAGAGCUAGAGAAGUAAGUUUAAACAAGUAUUUCUACUUAAAAUCUUUCACCAUAAUGAGGUUUUUAAUUGAGUUUCUGCGACUGGAUUUUUUUUCAUGUCAUGCAGUUUGGAGGAGUAUCCGUGCACCCUUGCUUCUGCUUUGCACAGGUUAGACACUUUGUUGGCACUGGAUGACACGAAGCUUACUCUCGCUUUGGAGGCUUACCAGCGCAUGGACUCAUCCAGGAGAGGUCCUUACCGUGCUAUUCAAGUUGUGUCAAUAUUCAUCUUCAUUGUUCAUAGCCUUGCAGAGAGCCUGCAGCAAGAGGACUCAACUGGAAAGGAUGACGAUCACAAACAUUCUGCACUAACGCCUUUGGCAUUCGCUGCUAUAUUAAUCUUCAUGGGUCGCCUUACAGAGAGAUGCCUGGACACGGAUAUUUCCCCACUUUUGCCAGCUGUGCUUGUAUUUGUAGAGUGGCUAGCGGGAGCACUUGAUACGGUGCUAGCAUAUGACGCUGAUGAACGGGUUAGAAAUGCUAUGUCCUACUUUCUUGAUGCUCUGGUUGAUCUCUCGGGUCGAAUUGUGCAAUUUGGAAAUAGAACAUCUCUUGAUCAUAAUGCUCUUUGGGAAGAUCACGAGCUGCGGGGCUUCUCCCCAUUAAAUCGUGUUCAUGAAAAAAUGGAUUUCACGAGUCAUCUGGAGUGCUUGGAGGACUACAGUAGUGGAAAUGAAGGCCGUUUGCAGCGCAUUGUUGAUGCUGCCAAACGAAUAACGACCAAGUCCAAAAUCUGUCAUGAUAAAGUGGGAAGAUUGCUGUCUAAUUCUGAGAAGACAUUAGAUUUACCGGAACAAGGAGAAGUGGAGACUGCAGCAUCUGUUUCCAGUCAUGAAGCCGAUGAGGAGAAACCUUUGCCUGUAGAAGAGGAAGAAGUCAUUCUCUUCAAGCCAAUCACGAGACGCAACUCAGCGCCGCUUCCUGGUGAACCACACCUACCAACACCAUCUUCUGACGAAUGGUUGCGAAGAGCCACAUCAUUAUCGGCUGCAGAAGAUGCGGACUCCUUCAGUUUCUGCUCCACCACCUCAAAUUCCGGCGACAACAGGCCACUGAAACACCCGACCGGACCCCCCUCCCUCAGCGGUUGGGUCCUCAGCAAAGAAAGCUCGAGCAGCAGCGAAAGAGAUAAAGAAGCGAGUGGCUUUAGUAGACCAAAGCUAAGCCCUAUCAAUGAAAUAGCUUCGACAUCCUUCACCGGUCUCUGCAUUAAUGAUAGCAGAGAGUCUGAAAUGGCGAGCGGCCACAUCUCAACGAUAGUGCAUUACGUUACACCAGUGCCUUCAGCCCCCUUGUUGCCGGACGACGCCUCUUGGUUGAGGGGACACGAGGCAGACGGCAUUCUUGGUGCGGCGCCAUUGAGCCAGCCGUCUGCAGUAGGUUCGGGGUUUGUUAACGGAUACCCUCCGCUUCUGGGGAUGAGUUCUUCUGAAUGGCUGUAUCACUAUAGGAACAGUCAGAACAUGAAUCCGAUUGCGAUGAAUGCGCCUCCCGCCUUUGGGGCUGAGGUUUCGAGCUUCGAGCUGUGUGAUCAAUGGGGAAACCGCUUGGUGACGAAUCCGAUGGUGUACUGGGGGAGUCCAGAAUACUAUGUUGGUGGUGAAGAACUAGAGAAGCGAGAGAAGGUGUUUGUUGGCUACCAAAGGCCAUUUCCUUAUGGAUGUGGUGUUGGAAUGGAGGUGAGCCAUCAACAGCCGCCGCCGCUUCUGCACUAUCUCAAGGAAAGACAGAGACAACUGCAGCCGCCCUCCUCUCACCUAAGAGGCCCUACUUUUAUGGGAAACUGACUUCCACUUCCACUGCCACUGCCCGUGUUUUUUUCUUCUUUUAAUUUUUGCUGCCAUCCAAAAAUCAGAGAUGAAAUGUCAUUUGUAAACUUUCAAUGAGAUUCUCAACAAUCCUUUGUAUAUAAACCAGUGUGGAAUUGCCUUUCCUGGUUUCAUCAUACUGACUGAAACGGAUUUCCCCAUGAUUCAGUAUUUUCAAGUGUGCUGAAAGUAUUACAUCCAUAAUCAAAUUUUAUGCCCAUUUAAAAAUUACUAGAGUUUUAAUAAAAUAGUUGAAUGUGUUGUGAAUAGAAUAAUCGCGUAUGAUAAUAGUGUUAAAUGAUUAUAGUGGAGUAAAAAAUUUAUUUUUUAUGGAGACUGUAUGAAGUAAUUUUAUUAAAAAUAAAAAAGGUAUGAAAUUGAGUGACGAAGAGAGUAAUUAGUAAUUAAAUUGAAAUUUUUAAUAAUAAAAAAUUAAUAAAUCUCAAUUGGAAUUUAUUAGGUGGGGUCAAAGAAAAAGAGUUGGGGUUGGAGUCGGUGAUCUUAAACUUGGGAUUUAGAAAGAUAAAAUUAGUUGUUUGGGUACGACAAGGACAAUAACUAGAACGGGUCGUACCAAUCGUGAUCGUCUCCACCAAAACCUGAGAAUCAAAAGAUCUAACAUCCCUACAAUGGAGGCUGAGCCAUCGCGCGUCUCAUCUGCGGAAGCAGUCAUGCUUGGAGCUUUGGCUCCUGGCGUCAACGUCUCUACUCUACAAUAUUUUUUCCACAUACUAGUUUUUUAAGUUUCAUCAAGAUUCAAAAUCCUUCAGCUAGAUUUUUCUCAAUUAAAAAAGCUCAGAUCUUCCUCCUCUAUAAAUUUCAGGGUGCCACAUGGAACACGCUAAAGAUGGCGUUUCUGAUGCUGGGCGUUUGCCUCGCUGCUAUGCUGGGAUUAGCGUUUUCCUCCAGCGACUCUUCCUUAAUAUUCCAUGUCACCUUCCUUGUACUCAUCGCCGCCACUCUCUUCCUGCUUCUUACCGGGUAUUCUAACUUCAAUUCAUCACUGUUUUUAAUAUAUGUGAAAUUUGCUAACUGGGCACAUUAUGUUAAUUAUGAGACUUACAUCACAAUGCACUCUAGGUGUUCGGUAAUAUUUCCCAGUGGCAACUAUUCAAAAUUUUGAUACUUACUUUCUGUCUUCGCUUGUUGCCAGCUUUCAUUUUUCUGAGAUGUGCUGUGUUUGUUUGAGUUGUGUAUGUAUCCUGCCCGAUCAAUGAAUAAUCUUUUUGUUUCCAGAAUGUUAAUAAUGUUGAUAGUAAAUAUUCUGGGAAUUUGGCUGUGUUAUUGUCAAAUUUGAUGGAAAGAAAAGAAGAAUUAGACAUUAUCUUGUAGGGGGAUGGCCUUUGUAAUUCUCAGGCAGCUUAAUCAUGCAUGAUUACCUUUUGUUUUUUGGUGACUAACCUGAUAUGUUGAAAUCAAAGAGCAUGGCCACAUAAUUAUUAACAUUUCAGUAUCUAUAUUUUAUAGCUUCCUUGCAGAGACGGGCCUUGUCUCAGUGGAGCAUCAGAUGCAGGAGAUUGGCUUAGGAAAUAAAGAUGCAGCAGGAUACAGUAGCAAGAAAAGCAUCUGAUUUUUGAUUACUACAUCAUACAGUUUCAGAUGACUAAGACCUUAUCAAGAUCAAUACAAGUUACAUGGAUCCUUACAAUUGAAAGUCUAUACGCACGACAAUAGGGGAAAGUGACUGCUAGAUGAUCAUGUUGUGCGCUUUCUGCAGAUCUUCAUUCUUCUUCUUCUUCGACUCGUCCUUUUUGGUCUUGAUGAAGCAGAAGCACGAGCAGCCCGGUAACCCCAGCAUGAACUUCAUUUCUUCUCGGUUUUUGGAUGACUUGACUUAUCCUGCAAUUAUAGAGGAAUAAAUGUUUGUAACCUCAUGUACUAAUACAUUUGAUUCUAUUCCAUCCAGAUAAGAAGAUGCUUAGCUUCUUCUCAUACACUAUUCAGACUUAGUUAUUCUUAACUUGUUCCACUCAAGAUCAAUAUUAGUAGUUUUCUAUAUCCAUUUGUGGGCUCAAAAGUGGGUUCAGUUUUGCAUUGUUUUUUUAAUCUCAUCAUGUUCCCUCAUUUUAUUUUAGGAUUUAUUGUGUUUUAUGUCCCGACCUUUCAGUGUUUUUCAUAAAAUGUUCCGAACUUUCAUUUUCUCCUUAAAAAAUUCAGAACUUUUAGUUUUUCCAUAAAAUGUUUCGCUAUACAAAAUUCGAUAACGAAAAAAUGACAAAAAUCUCAAACUUUCAUCGUUUUCCAACAAUGAUGGUUUCUAAUAUGAUUUUUCAAUAAUAAGUCUNNNNNNNNNNNNNNNNNNNNNNNNNNNNNNNNNNNNNNNNNNNNNNNNNNNNNNNNNNNNNNNNNNNNNNNNNNNNNNNNNNNNNNNNNNNNNNNNNNNNNNNNNNNNNNNNNNNNNNNNNNNNNNNNNNNNNNNNNNNNNNNNNNNNNNNNNNNNNNNNNNNNNNNNNNNNNNNNNNNNNNNNNNNNNNNNNNNNNNNNNNNNNNNNNNNNNNNNNNNNNNNNNNNNNNNNNNNNNNNNNNNNNNNNNNNNNNNNNNNNNNNNNNNNNNNNNNNNNNNNNNNNNNNNNNNNNNNNNNNNNNNNNNNNNNNNNNNNNNNNNNNNNNNNNNNNNNNNNNNNNNNNNNNNNNNNNNNNNNNNNNNNNAUAAAAUUACCCAUUUAUGCCAAGAAUGGUGCAACACGAGCUUUAAUAAAAAAAAAUAAAGAAAUUAUUGUGUAUUGACAAUAAAUAAAAUAUAUUAAUUGUGCAGAAAUGAUCUAACGUGUAUUGUCCAACAAUAGAAAUGACAUAUUUGAGGGAUAUAUAUAUAUAUAAAGGAAGGCAUAAUUUUAAGAAACAGAGGGAGUAUAUCGGUCAUUAUUUAUAUUAUUAAUAUAUAAUAAUGAUUACAGAUUACUGUAAUUAAUAACUUCUAUUUUUCAAUUAUUUUUUAUAUAUACUUUCUAAAAUGAUAUGUAUAAAUUGAAUGUUAUAACUUCUACAGUAACAAUUAAUUUCUAUAAUUUAAUUGAAUGUUAUAACUUCUAUGAUGACAUGUUAUAAACUUAAAAUAUUUACUUAUAUAUAAAUUAUGUUUUAUAAAUUAUGUAUUCCAUACAAUAAAUGUGUAUAUAUAUUUAUUGGUUUUUAAUCUAUAAUGGAUAAGAUAUUAUAGUCGAUGAAUAUUCAUUAACUUAAUCUAGAAUAAAGGGGGCGAAAAUAUCUAAAUAAUCUAAAUUAUAGUAAUCGUUUAAACAAAACUAGCUUGUAACCAGUCAAAAUUCGAAGGAGAUUUAUUUAAUGUUAUAAUUUAAAAGAAAAAAGGUAUAUAUAUAUAUAUAUUAUAUAUAUGGAUGGGCUAGAAUAAAAACACUCUUAAGUGUAUAAAAUAUAAACGUUUCUUAAUGUACGAAUUUUAUGUAGAACACUAAUGAAUUUAUCCAACAGAGUUACGAAUUGCGAAAAAUAUUUUUUUGUCGGAUAAACCAUUUUCACCCAUUCGAUCAUUAAGAUCUACGAUGGAUGCAUCAUCUUGUCGGAUGAAUGCAGAUCCUGGGUUAGAAUCCUGAAAGGAACAACUUUUUUUAUUUUUUUGAGUGCAUUAAUUUUAACAGCGAAUGCAUUAAUUUUACAGUUGAUGCAUUAGAUUUAAUGGUUCUCACAUUCUAGGGUGCAAGACGAAUGUCGUCUUGUUAAUUGAAUGUUAAUUAAGUUUAAUAUUUCUGCAGUAGUAAUACAUUAACUGAAUAGAUCUCUCAAAAUAUGUAGUUGCUGAAACUCAACCAAAUUAUAAUCAAGAACAUGUCACAUCCAUUAGGAUCAUAAGAAAGGAAGUCUCAAGUGAAACCGGAUCACAAGUUUUAGUUAUAACAGUGGAGGCGGGAUAUUCAUACCUAUACGAAGCUCAUCACUUAGACCGUGGCAGUAACAACCUGAGUAGAAACUCCGAUGAUACCAUGUAUCGUAAUCAUCACUCAUUUUCACUAAUACAGAUUUUUGUUGGCCAAUAUCGUUAUUUAGGAUGUUUUUGUUACAACCUCAAUAAUUGGACAUUUAAUUGAUAUUAAUUGAUAAUUUAGAAUAUAUUUUUAUUUGGGAUUAGACAUAUAGAUUGAAAUUGAAAUUUAUCUUUAAAAACAUGAAUAUAUUUUUAUUUAGAUAUUUUUCUUCUUAUUUUUAUUUUCUUUAAUUUCUUAUUUGUUGUUACAUUUCUUUCCAAAAUUCUGAAAUUCGAUUAAUUAUAAAAUAUUUAAUAUGCAUAUCAAAUUAAAGAUCACAAUAAGAACUUUAAUAUGAUAUAUUUUAUGAAAAUAUUUGAUUUAAAAUGUAAAAAAUAAAUUUGUUUAAAUAUUAAAGUUUAUAAAUUUCUCUCUCCUCUCUCAUCUUUUUUAAAUAAAUAUAUUUUAAAUUCUUCUUAAUUAGGAGUAUUUUAUUUUUAACUUUUUUUAACUUAUUUUUUGUUUUUGUUUUUCAUAAUAUCAAAUUUUAUAAUUGUGAUUUUUUUUUAUUUUUUCAAUAUUUAAUUAAAAUUAAUUUUAUAUAAAUAUAAAAAUUUUAAAUAUUUUCUCGUGCAUUGCACCAGAUGCAAAUGCUAGUGCUAAUGAACGCAACAAAAAGUAAGCAGAUACGCAAUCUAGUAUUAAGACUUGAGAGAUUGAGCCACCGAGCGUUGUGACUCAAAGUUUGAUCACAUUCAUAAUUACGGAAACAAAAUUAUGAAUUCCAGUAUGAUAGUUUAAUUUUUGUUCAUGUUAUCGCUUGCAAAUCAAAUUCAGUAAAACAAUGGAAGUUGGGUAAUACAUUCUACACUCUACAUUUAUUCGAUUUUAUAAAUAUUGACCAUUGUAGAAGUUAAAUUUUCUCAGUCAGUAAUUUGAAUGAUAAAUUGUUACCAAUUUUGAGUCUAUCCGACACUAGAUUUCUUUGCGUGCGAGAAAUUUUGUUUAAAUACGCAUGUUAUUAUUUAUACAUUCUUAUUUAUUACAAUACGAAGAAAUUAAUUUAAAAAGAAUAUUGAAAGCAAUUCAAUUCGAACUUGACUCAAUUCAAUUCAACUUGAUUCAUACAUUGAAAAAAAAAAGAAAAAACAUUUGUCUCCGUCGCAUGACUCACAUCUCUUGAAAAUAAUUUGAUCUUAGUACGUCUUCUUUAUUUAAAAGAGUUGAAAUUCAACGACAUAUGAACUUAUAUUCAGGAAAAAAGUGAGCGAAGCAGAUUUCAUAACGCAUCUUCACUUUGGAAAACUCUAUUUAUUAGCGGUUGUCACAUUGCGCAAAAACUUACCAUAGUUCACAAGAAAUUCAACAUUAAUUUUUUUUUUUGAGGAAAUGAAAAGAAAUUCAACAUUAAUUAGAUUUGCAGUAUCAAAUAUUACUACCCUUAUUUUUUUUCUCGUGCUAUUAAAUUAUAAUAAUGUUUGAUCCAAUCCUAUGGAAAUCUUAUUUUAUCCCGUUUAUAGUCACACACCGACAAAAUUAGUUUUUUCUUUAAACAGUGUGUUUUUAUUGAACAAUAAAUUAUCAUCGGUUUCGGUUUGUCUCUUUGGAAAAUUUCCAUUUGAAUUCAACCACCACUGGGAUAAUAUUUAUAAUUUUAUUAUUAUUAUUAUUAUUUCGCGAAUUUGAUAACAAAAAUAUUUUUAAAAAAUAUUAAUACUUAUAAAGAUCUACAAAUUUGAAAAACUGUGAAAGUGAGGAUAGAAACAAAAAAAGAAGAAGAAAUAUUGGCUGGAAAAGGAUAAAAAUCAGAGACACGAGUCCACAGUUUUCUCUCACUAAAACAGCUUUCUCUCUCCACUUUCUCAUAGAUUAGAUGGUAAAUAGUGAAGAAGGUUAUAUAAGUAAAGGUUUAUUGUAAGUUUGCACUCUUUUUGUUUUUGUUUUUUUGUGGGUGUACCAACUUUGCAUGGCUUUAGCACCAACUUCCUUCGCUCACACCUCCAUCACCACCACCCCUUACUCUCUCACUUUUCACACCCAAAACUCCCUCAAUUUAUUGCUUUAAAUCAAGCAAUUUUGCCUUUUAGUUGAAGCUUCACGCUUUCCGCUUCAUUAUGUAUAAACAACCCGGAUUCCGUCUGCUGUUUUGCUUCUUCAUUUCCCCUCUUAAUCUUCUGCGCCUCUUGGUUUUGUGAAGCGGAGAAUUUUGCCUUCUGUUAUCAUGGAUGAGUGGGAUGCUCAGAAGAUGUGAGUUUCUUCAACAAAUACUUCAAUGCCGCCACUUUUUUUUUUUCCAGAAAUUAUUUGAUUUUCUUCUCCCUUUUUUUUUCUGAGGAUUUUGUGUUUAUUGAUUUUGAUAUUUUUUCUCUCGUGUCCUUUGGAAUCGGAUGUUUGGGAUUUUUUUGAUUUAAAAAUAAAUCGUUAAUUAUUCUCUUUUGCAGGUUGGACUUGUACAUUUACGAUUAUUUGGUGAGAAAAAACAUGCAUACAACAGCUGGAAUCUUAGCCGAAGAGGCUGAUCUUCAGCCCAAGUCUGUUGGUAUAUCACUUCUUUCUGGCCGCUGCUUUUGAGAUUCUUUAAUUUCUUUAGAACUCUGUGUUUUCUUAAAUUUAAUGUGUUUAUUAAUGGAAGAAGUAAAUCUGUGUUUCAUUCAACGAAUUAAUUUUUUACCUUUCCCAUGAAAAGGAAAAUGAGAAUGAACUCGUUUAUGUUUCUCUAAUUAAUGAAUGUGCGUUUAUGACUUAUCUGAAGUGUGUAUACUACCUCACUCGCUUAAUUAAUUUUGUAGAAUCUUUUUUAGUGGAAAAGGUAAACAAAAUUGAUUUGUAAUUGCAUGUACUUUUCAUCUUUUAAAAAAUCUUAGUCAUGAUGAAUUGGCAACUAUUACUGUUUCAGAUCGCAUGUUGAUUUCUCCACCGAUUCGGAUUGUUUUUAGUCAGUUAUGACAGCACAAUCUGAUUAUAGAAUGAUUUUGUCAUAUAUGUUGAUCCAAUCUGGCUAAAGAAUCUUAUCAAAGUGCUAUCAAGUUGUAACAUUAAUUUUUGUUUACUAGACUCCACAUUAAUUGAAAGUUGUUGAGACAAAUCACCUAAAGUAAUCUGAGUACUCAUUUUGAUGUUUCACAUUUUCUUCUGCAGUUAUCAAUCCUCCUGAAGGAUUUCUGUCUGAGUGGUGGUCCUUAUUUUGGGAUGUAUACUCUUCUAAACUUCCGAAGAAUCCUCAGGGAGAACAAGCCAGCACAUCAAAGGUUUUUUGAUUUUUUCUUCUUCUAAUUUUUAUAAGAACUUGUUUGAUUGCAUUCUUGUAUAACAAAGGUCAUGCAUUGAAGUUGAUUCUCGUCUAAUUUUCAGCUACCUAUGAAUGGUGGACCUGUGCUGCAAAAUCCUCAGCCUGGUUCGCUGGUGCCAGAUGUCAGCUAUAUGCUGCAGAACAUCUGUCAAAGAACUCCUAUGUCUGGGCUUCCUAAUCUGCUUCAGAUAGGCAAUCCAACACAAAUGCCAAAUAUGGGAAGUUUGCUGCAAAAUGCUUUUCCAACUAUGAUGCCAAAAAUGGAUUUCACUGCAAAUCAGUUUCGACAAAAACCUAUGUCGCUUUCAGACUACUCUAUAAGGGAUGAGCAGAUCUUGGAUGAAUUGGCUGCUCAAAGAGAGCGUGAGCAAGAGCAUCUUAGGCUCCCUCGAAGGUGCCUUGAUCCUAAGUCGAAUCUUCUCAAUGUUGAUCAUUUAGCUAGCAUGUUGCCGUUGCCAAGCAGUUCCAGGUAAUGUUCUAUCAAAGAUUGUCUGUCUAUCGGUUUAAAAUGCUAACUUCUUCUGCCCUUGUUCAUGGCCAUCCGAGUUGAUAAUAUGUUAACUAGAUUUAUCAAGGGGGUGACUUUGCAAAGGCUGACUUUAUUUGUAAAUGCUCUCAAGGGUGAUGUAAAGGAAUGUAAAUGUCGAGCUGGGCUGUUUGGGUGCUUUCUGCAGAACUGUUAUGUUACAUAACUGUUUUGAUAUGCUUAUGAUUUGCAUGUUAUAAUUUGUAUCUCUAUUUGCAAUGAUUUGUUCUGGGGGGAAUUGAAGCACAAAGUUCUUUAUAACCAGGUUUUUCACUUCAGAAGUGAUAAGUGGUAAAUGGUCUUUGAUUCAAGAUGCUAAUAUGUUCUUUAAUGUGUGAUCUGGUCUUGCAGCCAUCGUCAGAAGAAAGUUAGUAGCAAGCGGCAGUGUCCUGUUAUUAAUGUAUGCCUAUUUUCACAAACAAUAAUUGGUGUAUUAUUACAGAGAAGCAAAUUUGAGAUAUACUAUCUGUUUUUGCAGGAUGUCAACUAUAGUACUGGUUCGAUGAGAUCUAUCCCUUCGGAGCUAACUCCUUAUCCACCAAAGCUGAUACAGGAUGACAUCGGACAUGCAGAUGCUGGUUUGUACAUUUGACCUUUUAAAAUUACUAUUAUCUUUCCUAUGCUUGGAUCAUAUAUUUUACAUGUUUAAUAUUUGCAUUAUUCUUGCUGGCUUGCAUGAAAGAUGCAUGAAACAUGCAUACCAUAUGCCUGGACAGUUCAUUUCCAGUUGUUGAAAAUCGAGGUAUAGUCUUGAAGGAAUGCUAAUUCUAUGCAUAUGCUGAACAGUAUGAGGCUUUCAUAUUCUCUCUGCUAGUUCACUGAAAUGCUAUUAGAAGCUUUGAUAUAGUAAAUGUUGAUUUUUAUGAAGACCAAAUCUUAGACUAAAGUCAUUUUUUAUAUACAUAAAAGCAAAAUGCUGCAUACUCUUCAAAUUGCCUUCACAAAUAUGAUGAGAUAUGCUAGAUGCAAACUUUCAUAAUUGACCACUUUUACUCAUUCACAUGUAGUCUCUUUCCUAAGAAACACCAUUUAGCCUAUGAAUCAGAAAUAUUGAUUCUGGCAUGGGUUAUGGAGAACUUGACAAGUUAUUUGCAUGUCAAGUUCCUCUGAAGAUGGUUCAACGAAAGGAUAUUGGUUGAAUCUUAGGGUCCUAAUGAAGUACUUGCAUUUCUUGUAUAAAAUUUAUAGUUAGAUUGGAGGAGUGCUUAGCCAUUUCCUUGUGGAAUCACUCUUUCAUGCACUUGCAAGUUAUGUCAAAAUACACUUGGCGUAAAUGAUUAUCUCACCCUGGUGGAUCUAGGACAGAACAUCCAGUUCUAUCCAAUUAUUUUGGAGUUUCCUAGUUGGUCAUAUUGAUAGCCAAUUUCUGUCAAUCUGGUUUAGGCUCUUCAGCAAGUUCCAACUCUGCAUGUCCUGAUACCAGCUCCUGAAUCAAGAACUCAUGCUCAUGCAUGAAGCAGCCCCGGCAGCAAAUAUUUUUCUCGAUCUUGGUUUAUUAAGUUGACUUUGGCCUUCUAUAGUAAAAAAUCGUCAUACUUGGACUAAUAUUGUCUAUAGUAAGGCAUUGCUUGUGAAAACCCUUCUUGAUGUUUGUACGAGAGGCAGACCAUUUGUUUUUCUUGUUUUCUGACCCUGUCGGGUGAUCUUUGUUCAAUUUUAGUUUCAGUCAGUAUUUCAUGGUUAUUGGGAUGCAUUCUACGUAAAGAAAAAUUAUAAGUAGUUGGCGGCGGUAGCUUGGAUUUAGCUUCCAUAAUUAAAGCGAGAAAAGUUAAGGCCAAAGAGGACCUUAUGUAGAAAGAAGGGCGAUAAAUGGGGAAUCUUUCAAAUGUUAGUAUGUCCAUUGACUAUUGUCAUUACCUAGUAAACGCCUCAUGUUUGGUAUUUAUAAUAUAGUAGAAGCAACAGGUAUGCUGAAAAAGAGAAUAUUAAAGUAUAACCACUAGUGAUGAGGUCAAGAUGAUUGCAAUGGUAGUAUUAUGGUUUGGCUGUAGACUUAGUGCGGAUGCUGUUAUUAUUAUGAGUAUCUACAUCGAUUAUAUUGUGAGGGUGGACAAGGGAUCAGAGGUGCUUGGUGUCAUAUUGGUACUCAGUAGUGACAAUGUAAAGGUAUUAAAGGUGAUAGUGUUGAAGUUUUAUCUCAAAUCAGUUACAAUAUAUAGUUCCUUUAAGAUGGUGCAGUGAAACGGAUGCAUAGUGUCCGGUGGCGCGUUAUAAGAACUUUGUGGUUCAGCUAUAGGUGAUGAUAGGCAUUCAUUCAAGAAUCGUGCAGCACAAAAGAAGUGUAUGCACAUGGGCUAUGUUAGGUUCCACCUUGGUGCAUUAAGAACUAAUUGAUGAAGUCUGGAUUUAGCAUUGGAUAUAUUGGAUUCCUUUGAUCGAUUGUCUGAUCAACUUCUCUAACUUAACCUGAUGUAUGAUUAUGUAGCCAAACUUGUAUUGCUUCUAUAACCACUCAAUAUCAUCACCAUCAUCAUGAAAACCCAUCUUUCUGUUAUUUGUUGAGCCUUUUCAUCGACAUUGGUCCAGUGUCACCUAAGCCACGAAGGCUGCAUCCAAAGUUGUAACAAUCAUACUCCUAAUGUGUUAACUACAAAGAUUGUCACACUACCUAUACAUCAUUGAUAAGAUUAUAGCACCUUCAAUGAUUAUACGCGGAUCAAACACGUUUUUUAUUAGAUCUCACCUUUUGUGACUAUGGGUGGAUCAAAUAGCUUUUAUUGACUCUCUCAUCUUUAUUUGACAAUCUAUUCUUCCAAAUGUAAAUUCAUUACAAGAGAUCAUCUUUGCUCUUCAAACUUAACCAUUCAAUCUUCAUCUUUUUCUCCAUAAGGAAAUCGGCACAAAGUUAAAAUCCUUCACUUUGGGGAAAUCACUCAUUCUAAAACCAGCAUUUUCAAGCAAAAUCUACUAUUCCAUUAUAAUAGUUUUUCUAACUACGAGACUUCAAUUUUUUGUAGGAGUUUCCAAAUCCAUGUAGCUCUCAAAAAAUUAUUAGCAGAAAUACUCAAAAGAUAUGACAUAAAUGUUGUUUGAUCUCACCUUUGGUGAUUAUGGGCAGAUGAAAUAGCUUUUUAUUGACUCUCUCCUCUUUAUUUGACAAUCUAUCCUUUCAAAUGUAAAUUCAUUACAAGAGAGAUCAUCUUUGCUCUUCCAAAUUAAGCAUUCAAUCCUGAUCUUUUUCUCCAUAAGGAAAUCGGUACAAAAUUAAAAUCCUUCAUUUUGAGGGAAUGACUCAUUCUAAAAUCAACAUUUUCAAGUGAAAUCUACACUUCCAUAACAAGAUAGUCUUUCUAACUUUGAGACUUCAAAUUUCUAUAGGAGAUUCCGAAUCUUUUAGCUCUCAAACAAAUUAUUAGCGGACAUACUCAAAAGUUAGGACAUAAAAGUUAUUGAAUAUUACAUUUAGCAUGUAUAUGCUAUGUGUAAAAGAUUGGUUGUAAUCCCUAGAAUGACUCUUACUCAUUGUCUAUUAAGUGUCUAUUCUUCAACUUCCCACCUUUGAAUUAUUAUGGUCAUCUUUGCCUCAACUCAAUUGGCUUUUUUGCAAUCGAGCUCUUUUUUUGUCUUUGCACUUAUCAGUAGCAGCAAAGCUCUGUUAUUUCAAAUUAUAAAUAGGAUUUUUUUUACUCAAAGGUAUCAACUUAAUAGAUCCAAACUUAAAGCAUGCUUUAGUAACGUGCAAUACGAGAUUCUCGAUAGAAUCUCAAACUCCACCUAAACAUUCCAAUUUGAGGAUGCUUCUGCAAUCGAACUCUCCUUUGUCUUUGUGCUCAAAGGCUAACUUCCUUUGGUAGCAAGCCAAACAUCUUUUCAAUAUUAACUUAUUGGUCCCAAACUCAAAACACGCUUAUGUAAUGUGCAAUUCCAAAUUUUUAGCAUAGAUACUUGAACUAUAAAUAAACACUCGAAACCAAACUUUAUCUUACAUAUUGUCUAUAAUUGUUGUGUUUGAUGAUGGUUUAUGCUUUGGUUUUAGGAAAAGAUCAAUCAUUUUCCUUAAAAGAAAUCUUAUUUGUAGUUUGUUGGGAUACUAUAUCUUUUGUCGACACCAUCUAAUCACUUAUUUAAACUUUUUCCAACUUCAAGGAGCUUUUGCAACUAAACUCCCUACACUUGAUGGCUACUUUCCUUUGGUAGCAUAAAGAAUUCAAUAUUUUAAAGGUAUAAUUGGACAAGUGUUUGUCAAAUAUAACAUAAAACAAUAAAGAUAUUCCAAUAUUCGUAUAACUUCAGUUAUUGACUAGAAUAAUGAAAUUUCUCAUAUUAGAGUUACAUUACUAAAUAGGCAAUAUUAGAAUAUCAAAUACUAAAUGUUUUAGGAAAUGACAAAAGGGUAUAAAAAUUUCCAAAUGCAUAUGAUAUUACAAAUAAAAUCAAUGGUUAACUUAUUCAUUGAUAUGCCUUUAGUUAUAGUCAUUUUCAAAUUUCAAUGAUAUAAAGGAAUAUUAUUAUAGAAACAUAGAGAUCUUUUGUUUUUUAGCCACUUUAGAUUAAAAUGAUUUCCAUGAUUUCCUCGAGGCACUUUCGCAAGAUAGUGAAAAAGUACUCAAAAUCAUAUAUAAAAUGACGUGUCUACCCUUACCUAACGUCAGGAUGAAUUGAUAUUCAAGGCACUUUUCCUCAAUACAAGUGUGUCUUAAAGGCCAUUGUUCUGUGUGAUUGCUCCAUACAAGUGUGUUUGUCUAUAAUGCUCGAGGUUUUAGGCUCGAGGCUGCAGACAAGUGUUGCCGAAGCAAGACAUACAUAAGGGUUUUCUAGUCUUUUUGACACAUACACUUGCUAGAUUUAUUUUGCAUGAACUUUUUUUUUUGGGGCAGAAUUUUUUGGUUAGUGAGAACAAUCAGAAGACAUAUGGCCACGAGAAACAUAAGUCAAAUAAAGGUUGGUUAGCCCAAAAUAGUUUGGCUACAGUCAAUUGUUUGUAAGAUUAUCAGGGACUGUGAAGGCAAGAGGUUAUUGAAGAGAAUUUCAUUGCUAUAUUUGAUAGAUACUUCCUAGAUUAGAUGUUAACAAUUAUUUUGGUGGGUUGUACUUGUAUUCAUACAAAUGAAUCUCUAACUAAAUAAUAGAGUAACCAAUUCUACGUUACUUUCCAUUUACUCACCAUUCCUAAUAUAUUGUUUUUAAUGUAAAACAUCAUUGGCAUGUUAUCUCUUUUUGGGUCCUUUUUGCACCGGUUUCUUCGGCUCCAUGUUCCAUUACACCAGAUGAUGCAAUGAAUAUCAGCUUACAUGAUUCAUGUGAACGUGGCGUCAUUUAGUUUUAUGGGACAAGAGCUUAUGUUAUGUCUACAUACAUGGUAUAAUGUUUUGCCAAAGAACACAUGUAGAAGAAAAUCCUUUAUGCCUUAAUUUCCAUUUGAAUAAGCUAUUUUUGGGGGGCUAGGAUUAGGAUAGUUUUUAUGGCAAGCAUAGCAUUUUUUAUACCUCUUUUCUAAUCUACAAAUGUUUUCCCCUCUGUCAUCGACCUAUCCUGGUUUGACUGAAUCAUGUAGUAGCUCUUCAUGAUUUUAUUAGUUUAAAUUCUUAGUUUUGGCCUUGAGCUCUGACAUUGUCCAAAUUCGAUGGAUAAGUGUUAUCUAAGGUGGUUUCCCCUCUAGUACGAAUUCAUUAGAUAAGCUGGACAGAGAAAUGUUGAUGAACUUAUUCUCAUUUAUGCUAAAGUUCACCUAAGUUCAUGGGUGCUUGGGCAACAUUCUCAGAUGCAUUGUUAUGGCAAUUGCACUUAUUCAAUAGAGCAGCUUACCAUAUAUUACCAACCUGCAAUAGUUUACGUGAAUAUUAGUAUGUUCCUGGCGUAGCCAUUGCCAUAAAUUUUGGUGAUAUAAUUUGUGCCUAUUAUUAGAUGUGAUAACAGUUAAUUGGGUUUAUAUAUCUUAGAUUUCCGAUAUCUUUUGGAUUGCUCCCUUUUGAAUGUUCCUUUUCAAUUCAAUCUUUCAGGAAGGAAGAUAUUAGAGAAAAUAUCAUCGCAGGGGCAUUCUUCACCUGUAAGACCAUGCAAUUUAGCACGCCAAAGAUGAUUUUGGCUUCUGCAGGACUGGUCCUAACUGUUUUUAUUUCCAGAGUUCAUUUAUUAAUUGUCGACGACUUCAUGUCAGGUAUUCAGUUUUGCUGAUAACACUCCCGUGUCAGAUCAACAGAGGAAAAAUUCAUCUCCAUCAGAUAUCUGUCAAGCAGAUUGUUCAUGUGAGUUGGCAGCACAAGCAUCAAAAAAGCUUAUAAUAAGCCCACCUGAUAAUUCAACCAAGAUGACAAGUCCUACUCUCUCUAAUGAUGGCUCAAAGGGGAAAGGUGUACAAGUAAGUUAGAAUCUCAUUCAAUUUUUUAAGUACUCAUUUUUGUUAGCUUCUUUUUCUAAGAAACUGUUCUUCAUGAUCACGGGUACCUACCAUGUCAGGUUUUUCAGCUUUAACAUAGAGCAGAACCCUUGAUGUUAGCCUUAUGAGGCUGUAGUUUGGUAUCAUUUACAGGCAGAUGGAAAUGUGUUAGAUAUAAUUGCUUAGUUGUUUUUCCCUUUUGGUUCAUUAACUUUUAAGACUUCUUAGUUUCUUCAUGAGACAUGAACAUGUAUCUACGUUACAUAUACAUAUGCAUGCUUGCAUUUGUGUAGUCUCUAGAUCAAGUCUAAGCUGAUAAAUCGUGGAGUCGGUAUCUUGUGUCAGCCAUGUGCUGCUUACUCUUUCCUGAAAAGUGGGUUGUAAGCAUUAUAUUUUUUCUUUGUAGAUUGAAAGGAAUACAGAACUAGAGGGGCCAUUUGAUGAGGAAAUAGCAUCUUUUUUCUCAAAUUAUGAAGCUGCUGACAAUAUGACCAUUUCAUUCACGCACACUUCAUCUCAAAAACUGAACGAUCAGCAAGGUAAGUUUCACUUUCAUGCAACCAUUUGCUGCUAUGAUGACCUCUGCCAUUGUAUGGAUCUAUCUGAAUAGGGUUGAAGGGGAUAUGAUUAAGAGGAAAGCAUAAUGCAUAGAGCUGAAAUUGUUGGCAAUAUUAUAAUGCGUCAAGCUUAAGGUAGAUGUCAUUGUGCAGUGACUAAUGUAGAUGGAAAGAAAAUCUGGUUAUCUGUGUUAACCAUUUCUGGAUUGUGUAGCAAGUAGUGUAGAUGGCAAGAAGUUCUGGUGAUCUGUUGUUAGCCAUUUCUGUGAAACUGAAAUCGUAUGGUCCUUGAUGGGCAGAUGCUUAUGCACAGCUGUAGUAGGUAGGGUAUUCAUACAGUUUUAUUUUAAUUGUUUUGGCAGACUUUCCUUUUGGACCAGUCAGAAGUCUCCACCCAAGUAAUAACAAGCUAUCAUGUUGCGAUUUCUCAACCCAAGGGAAAUUCUUAGCUGCUGCUGGGCAUGAGAAAAAGGUUUUGCAGUUUAGUUCAUCCUGAAAUUCUGUUUUAAUGGAGUGUGAAUUCUUUUGUGAUUGAAGUUAUUGUCUUGUAACAGAUAUUCAUUUGGAACUUAAAGCAAUCAACCAGAUAUUCCUUCCAAGGGCAUACUCAACUCAUUACAGAUAUUCGAUUUAAGCCAAAUUCCAAUAUGUUCGCAACUUCCUCCUUUGAUAGAAUUGUGAAGAUAUGGGAUGCAGCUAAUGUAAUAACUCUUCCCUUAUCUCUUCUAAAUUUUGUUGCCUUUUAGAUUUUUGCUUUUCAGCAUUGCUAAUAACUUUUUCGCUGGAUCAUAUGCUUUGCAUCUAGUACAUGGUAUUUACCUAAGCUAAACUCUAUAUACCUCUACUUUCUUUUAACUUUUAUUUGGAAUCUGCAAGCAUGCUAUAUCAUCAUUGAUGUUAAUUUUCCUUGGCGAGCGAUCAUGGUUUAUAUCCCUUUACACUUUAGCUGAGUUUCAUUUUGUAUUUUGCCUCCUUUCUACAAACCUUGGAAAAUUGUGAGCUAUCUGAUCUGUUGUUCCUCUGAGAGUAACUUAGCUAUAAAUGAUUGAUUAAAAGCAGAUAGUAGAUGUGCUCACCUUUUUCGCGGCUUUGCUGUUUUAGACUAAAAAGAUACUUUACAACCUUGUUGGACAUGCGGAUCAAGUGAUGUCGGUGGAUUUCCACCCGAGAAAGACCAAUCUAGUGUGCUCCUGUGAUCGCAGUGAUGAGAUCAGAUUUUGGAAUGCCAAAGAAUCUGCUUGCUCUCGCUAUUUUAAGGUCAGCUUGUGUAAUUUUGCUGAACGACUUUUAUAUGUGUGCUGUUAGCUUAAUGCUUUAACUAUCUCUAUUCAUUCGGCUUUUCUGCAAUAAUCUUCUGCUGAUAUUAAGAGGGUGUUCGGCUGAGUUUAUAAGUUUUUAUAACAAAUUACAAGAUUUUUCAAAGUGUGACAACUAUGUAUAAAAAUAUCUUAUUUCCUCGCAAUAUAAAUCAUCAGAAGGAUAGAUUGUAUAGCCAAACUUCGAUUACUAACAUCAUCAAAACUCUUACAACUAAUCUUAGGAGUAUGUAUAAAGCCAAACACCCCCCCCCCCCCCUUCCUCUAUACGGUUAACUAAGUGGAACAAGUAGUGGAUUUCCUUAUCAUGUUAAUUAAAAUGUUCUGAUCUCCAGUACGUUUUUGAUGUAUGAAUAUCAGGGAGCUAAUAGACAGGUGAGGUUCCAGCCUCGACAAGGGAGCCUCUUGGCAGCUGCUACUGGUAAUGUUAUCAAUCUGAUCGACGUCGAAACAGGCAUGACCCACUACCGCUUUGAGGUACAUAUAAAUAUAGUGCAGGAUUAGGCUACAAGCCUAUUUUAAAGCAGGACAGCGAACUGUGAAAACAUGAUGAAUUCGUUGUGCAAAGUGAUGAAAUAAAAAAAAAUGGAAUGUUUGGCCUACGAUGGGAUUCAUAGUGGCGUUUACUAUGCAGGGACAUGAAAAAGACGUGUGUACAGUAUGCUGGGAUAUAUGUGGAGAAUAUCUGGUAUCGACAAGUGAGGACAGCACGCGCAUAUGGUCAAUUGUAUCAGGUGGAAAGUGCAUACACGAGUUGGCCUCGUGUGGCAGGGACUUCUCGUCGUGCACCUUCCACCCUGCUUACUCUCAAGUCGUGGCUGUGGGUUCCUACCAGGUACAUAGCUGCUGCUGCUGCUGCAUUAUCUAGCUAGCUUGUAAUCAAUCACAUUCACGCAGAAUUAAUUGUAUUAUUUUGGUGCAGUCUAUUUAUAUAUGGAACCCGACCAUGGGAAACAGGACGUGGAAGUUCCAUGGCCAUCAUGGUAUAGUGUCUGCCAUGGCCAAUUCACCUGAGACCAACAUGAUCGCCUCCGCCAGCCAUGACCAGUGGGUCAAGCUGUGGAAGUAGCUUAGCAUUUCCCCUAUGUGCCAACUCAACUGCUCCCAUACCAAUACCUACAAAACAUCUAUAUCAAAUUAGUUAGCAAUAGUGUGGCACAUGUAAUCUAAUAUAUAUAGAUAGAUUGUUGGAACUUGCCAACUUUAUAUAAUCUGUUGUUUACAUCUUAUAAAAUGUAUUUUGUUUUUCUCUAAUGUUGAAAUUAUGAAUACAGUAUUCAGUUUCAAAUUAUUCCAUCUAUUAGUAUCAGCUACUUGUUGAUGCUGGGGUGGCUACUGCUUUUAUUUCGCAAUUUGUAAGCCAGCCCAAUUUGCAUUUUCCAGGGUGAGAGACGCUCUUUUUGGUUUGGAGGCGGGAGAAACAAAGAAAUUUGUUGCAUUACUGAUAUUUUUGGUAUUUAGUAGUAACUUGUUGCAUAUAUUGAUAUUUUUAUACAUUUUCUGCCGCACACAAAUAUUUGUUCAAAUUAUCUUUUUUUUUUGUUUUGUUGAAUCGUUUUGUUCAAAUUAUCUUUAUAAUUAAUUUCCUUUUAAUUUUGUCUCUUAUUCUUUUCAUAAUGUUGGCAAGAAUAACGAAAUUUGUUGGCACAGUAAAACUUAGGUCUAAAAUAUAAGGCCCAAUAGCACAGAUGGGCCUGGAUUAUAUAGUAGAAAACUUUGGUCCCCGAAAAGUGGUUGCUUUAUUACGCACACUACUUGAAAAUUAAAUUUACAUGCAAAAAACCAAGAAACUUUUUUCUUUAAAAUUAUCCAAACCAAAUAAACUUUAUUCACAAUCAAACGUGGCGAGAUUCAUCGCUCAAGGAGGGAAAUCGAUUGUCCAUACAUUCUCGCUCGUACAAGUUUUUGCCAACCUUGAUAAAUUAUGGACAAUACUAUUCAUUAAUCUAAACAUAUGAAAAACUCCAACUAUUAAUUCGUUUCAGACCAAAUAUUUAUCAUUAAUCACGCCGACGUCUCCGAGUAUAUAUCAGAUCGUGCCUCUUCACAGUGAACAAAACAAAAUGGCAAGACACUUUCAAGUUUCGCAUAAUUAGUUUAAUUAUAAGUCACAUAAACACACACUACAGAAAAAAUUUCUAUUAGUCACACAAGGCUUGGUAGCUAAUAUUCAUGUUACAAAAAUUAGUAGCAUUUAAAAGUGUAACUAUUAGUGAUUAGUUAUACUAUUAAAUAUCACUAAUCUUUAUGACACGCAUAAUAGCUACCAAACCUCACGUCACUAGUGGAAUUUUUUUUGCAGUGACACUUUUUCCAUUCAACAUGAAAUUAACCGUAAAAAGGCAUAUGAAUUUCUAAAGAAAACCAAAACCAAAAGGGAAAUUAAAGAAGAAAAAGAAAAAGUGGAGUUUAAGUUAUGUUAAUUUAGACUGAACUUUGGUAGGACCGCUACAGAAUAGAUGCUCAAUAUCGACAUACAAACAAUUCUUGCGAAUUUUGACUAUUUAUAUGUAUUUACAUGCAAGAGUUGUUGAAGAAGUUGAAUAUAUCCAUUUUCAAGGGUAGCCGUAGCACUAUCAACAUGUGUUAACUAAUUAACACGUGUAAGCUGUAAGUGAACAUAUAUACACACGUCGAGAGCCUGCAAGUGUCAACUAUAAAUUUCUGAAAUAACAAUCGUGAUGGAUGACAAUUAGUAUAAGAAUGAAAUUGAAGGUAAUUAAUAAUUACAAAAUAGAAGAAAAUAGGUAGCGAGGUGCGUACGGGAAUAUUGUAUCAAAGUCGUCGCAGACAUCUUUCGUCUCAAUUAUAGCCUCAGGUAUAGCCUCAGGUAUACAUACUUACUGCUUAAGUAAUUGAUUGAUUUUGAAUUAACACAAGGGAAGAUCGGAAGAGGAUUAGAGGCGUGAAAAGACAGAAAAGGGCUCCCAUGAUGAAGUGAAGAGGGAAGCGGCAAUGGUGCCCGUACACGAGGAGAAGGGCGUCGAUGUAAAUUCGCGUCCCAUUGUUGAGGAUAACAAAUCUGUUUCAAUUCACAUUUUGGUUUUGCAUUUCCGCUAAACAAAUUCUCAAGCCAUUAUAAUUCAAGAGAAUAAGAAUUCGAAACUUCUAUCAUUUUUUAAGUUUCAAAGUGCUUAAAUAUAGAACUAUAUGGAGUAUUUGUUAUGUAAUCUUUUCAAGUUUGAACCGCCUCUCUUUUAUUGGCUUUCAUUCUGAGAUGGACGUACGGAUUCAGAAAAGAUCCUUGAUAGGGAUUUUAUCUUUAGAAUGUGGAGUUUGAAAUCUUUAGAAGAUAAUAAUUCUAUGGUUUAAUUAAUUAUUUCAUGAUAGUGGUUUUGCAUAAAAAGUCGCAUAAAGAACUAAUGGUUUAACAAUUUAAUAAGAACAAUAUAUAGAAAUAUUAAGCUGUCGCUGAUGGAAGUUACAGUUUUUCGGAUUUUGGAAUGUUUGAAAAGUAAGAUAAAGUAAAGUAAAUCAAGGCAGGAGGGGAUAGAGUUGGAGUAAUCGAAUACACUGCGUUCUUUUCAUGUAAAUUUAUCAUAAAAACAAAGAAUAAAUUAAAUUUCAUCCUUUAAAUUCUUUAUUUUUCCCUUCAUUUCCUAUAAAAUAGAAUUUGACCCUUAUACAUUCCUCCUUUGUACUAUAAAAAGGAUAAUAUUAUUUUUUUAUUUUUGGUGUGAUAAUAUAUAUUAGCCCUCCUUUAUAGUGAAAAGAAGGAAUGUGUAAGGAUUAAAUUCUAUUUUGUAAAAAAUAAGGGAAAAAAAAUGAUUUAAAGGUGAAAUUUUAUUUAUCCCUUUUUUUCUAUGAUAAAUUUACUAUAAAAGAGAACGCACCGUUGAAAAACGAGAAUAAAAUAAGUCGAACCAGUAGCUAUGAAGAGAAGAAAACGAUUUUUUUAACCAAUUUUUUUCUCCCGAAACCAGAUGAGAGAAAAGGAGAAGAAGACGAAGUUGAGGUGGUAAAGUUAAUAUUAGGGGGCAGCUACUUUGAAUGGUGGAUAGAUAAAAAUAAUCAAAGUUGGUUUAUUAUUUAUUUUUGAUGCAUUAACAUUCGAUUUUAUAUUUUAUCAAUUUACUCGUUUUCUUUUCAUCCAAUUUAUUUUUGUGGUUUAAAGAGAGAAACAAAGACCUGGUUGUUUAUUUUGGACAUCAACUGUGGGCACGACCAAAAUUGAGAUUUCGACAUUUUCAUACGUAAAAAGAAAUCCAGCCGACAGAAAGAAACGAGUUCGGAAACUAUUUUCUCUUGGAUCUUUCCAUCCACUUCAUUUAGGUAGAAUAAAUUUUUUCUUACACAUUAUUAAUACUGAUAAAAUUCAAUUUUCACAUUACUAUUCAUUUAUUAACGCAAUUGAAGAUGAAAUAACAAUAACCAAUAGAAGCUCUUCGAUAUAGUAGUAGUAUUUGAUUGAUAAAUUCUGAAAGUAUCACGGCCACUUAAUAAUAAUUAUUCUUUUUGUCCAUGGUAAAACUUUCUAAUAAGAAAUGACACAAAUUUUAUGACAAUGUUGUUCAAUAUAUUAAAAGGGUGUUUGAGUAAGUAUAUUUUAAAAAAUUUAUAACCUUCAAAGUUUAUAAGAUGUUUCAAAAUUUUAUAAUAUGUAAUUUUUUAAAAACUUAUAAGUUGUCAAAGUGUUUAAAUAAUUAAGCUUAUGCACUAUAGAGAGAGCUUUUAGUUAGAAAGAAAAAAUCGAAAAGAGAUUAACUUAAAAGCGUAUAUGAUAAAAAUAACAAAUUAUAGUUGAAAAAUAUUUAUAAAAUAAUUAUUGCGUAUAAGAUAUGAAAAAAUUAAUUUCGGAUGGAUGAAUUUAUUUUUUGGGAGCUUAUAAGCUCUUGGAGCUUAUUUUUAGAACUUAUAACCCGUUUAAGAGUUGAUUUUAUCAAAACAUUUUGAAAAAAUUUACUAACUCUUAAAAAACUUAUAAAUUAUUUUAAAUAGCUUCAAAUCCCAACUUAUUAGAUAAUUUCAACCAUGUGCAAACAGAGCAAGAUUGUGCUUAGCUUAGUGUAAUUAUAUCGGACUAUGAAUGAAUCAUAAGCUGUGGAACAUUAAUUCGACAUGUGAAGAUUAAUUAACCCCUAAUACGUAGGUUUGACAAUGAAAAAGAAACAACUAAAAAUGGUAAAAGAAAUAUAGAAAUGGAUGAGGAUAAGUACUGUCUGAAAGAAACAAGUCCCCGUAGCAUAAUUAGUAUACACGUGGCACCUCCAUCUACAGGUGUCCAACCAUUCGCCCGCCACCUUCCUCCGCGAUUGCACCUUAUAACAAUCCUUUUUCCGCCAUACCCAAACCAUAACAUACUUCUGGAACUACAAAUCAAGUUUUCAAGGAGAAACUAAUCAAAAGCUAACAUCGCAAACAAAGAGAUGGCAGCCAUGUCUGCAAUGAAGAAUGCAAUUCUCAGCCUCUCCAAGUCUUCGGAGAUGGCCCAAUCCAUCCCCUUCCGCCCCACGGUGUCUCGAGUUUGCUUCGCCGCCGCUUCCAAUCACCAACAGGUACACUCCCAUUCUUCAUUUACCAAACAUGUCUCACCUUCUCCGAUUCACGCCAAAUCGCAUCUUAAGGGACGGAACAUGGCCGGCGAGGCCGGCCGGAGAGAAUACAGCCCGUACAACGCCGACGAGAGCGUGGACGAGCCCCGCGAUGAGGUGAGAGAAACCAUGGAUAAGGCCAAGGAGAAGACUCGCGAUAUGAAGGACAGAGCCAAGGAGAGCGCCGACGACGCCGCCGAUUCCGUCAAGGAGAAGGCGCAGCAGAUGAACGACAAAACUAAGGAGAAGCUGGGGCCCAUGGCGACAAGGCCUCCGAUAUGAGGGACAAGACCGUCGACGCGACGAAGCGGCAGGCGCACGAGGCGACGGAGAAGGUGAAGGGCGCGGCGGAGACGGCGGCGGACAAGACCAAGGAGUACGCGCACGGGGCCAAGGAGACGACCAAGGGCGCCGCCGAGAAGGUGGCGGACGCGGCCAAGGGCGCCUGGGGGGCGGCCAAGGAUACCACGCAGAAGAUCAAGGAGACGGUGGUGGGGAAGUCGGAUGACGACGAUUUGGAUGAUUUUAUCGAGGAUCGCGUCAAGAAGCCGGCGCGGGACACCCGGGAGAAGGUGAUGGAUGAAGAUGUCGUCGAUGCCAGGCGGCGGCGCGCGGACGAGCACGACCGUGAUAAGCUUUGAAGCCUUCUUUUGCUGUAUUUUUCUGCUUAAUGUUCACAAAAAACACAAAUAAUUUCCUUUAAGCAAUCAUGUAUGUUUCUUAUAUAUGCAGAUAUUAAUGCCGUACGUCUACCAAAAAAAGAAGCUUGCAUUUAAUAUUAGUGAUAAUCAUCACUUCUACCAUGAUUUUGUAGCUCGUGUUACACUUCUCAAGUCAGAUGGCAUUUUCGGCCUCUCCUUUAUUGGAGUUUGAGACGAUAAUGAUUUCGUUCCAUAUAAAAUCACCCAACAUAUUAUCACCUACUGGAUAAUAAACAGGAGAGAUAGGCCCAAUUGGAUUUUAUGUAGUGGGCCAAUUUUAUGGGAAUUUUGGGCCUGUGAGUAGUCCAAUUAGAAAAUUAAGCCGAGAGAAGACAAAAGCAAGAUGGAGCAGUUGAAAGCCAGCGUCACCUUUGGGCUACUAUUAAACUACCCAAUCAUACUAACUGUCACGUGACUCACAUCACUUGCAGGAUAUAUAUUAAUGUGAAGUUUUGGGAGAUUUCCAAUUUGUGAUGCCAUAUUUAUUCUUUUUAAUUGUAAUUGUGGUGGCUGGAUGUCAUUUGCGUGGUAAAAUAGAAUAUGCACUAUUUCUAUUGAUGUAGGCGAUUAGUUGUAUGGGAUCCAACUAUUUUCACUUUUAACGUUAAUCUGAUUUAUUAAUUGGAGAGAAAUUUCCUUAUUGAUUUCCUACUCUUCACAUGUAAUAUACUCUACACUGUAGCAAUUAUUUAUCCCAAAGGAUUAGAGAUGGCUAUAGGCGUAUAGUCUAGUAUAAUUAAAAAAAUAAAUAAAAAUGAUUUAGUGAUUUUGAUCGAGAGUUGGAUUCACUCGCAUUGCCGUCACAGAAAAGAAACAAUUAUCACUUCAUUGAGGACUACUACAUCUACAUGAACUCCACAUUAUCUUCUAAUAAAAAAAAUCAAGAAACUAAAUAAUUAAAUGUGAGGAAAUUAAAAAAAAAUAAAAAAAGAAGAAAGAAAUCGAAGGCCCAGCUAAUUACAAUAAAGUUAUACAAGGUGUACAAGACUAUAAGAUUAAGUACAAGUACAACUAUCGGGAAAAACAUAAUUUUGGUAAUAAUUACACCCAGGGGCGGAGCCAGACUUUCGAUUCAGGGGGGUACAAAUUUUUUUUAACGNAACUUUUAAAGUGNNNNNNNNNNNNNNNNNNNNNNNNNNNNNNNNNNNNNNNNNNNNNNNNNNNNNNNNNGCCCAGUGACCCCCCUGCCCCACCCCUAGCUCCGCCCCUGAUUACACCUACCUGGGUACUCUCACCCUGUGUAUUUUGUUGUCAUACUUUAUAUUAUUAAUGUACACUAUAUGUUUCACACUGAUAAAUAUAAUGUGCUAGAUAAUAAUUUUUUAAAACAAAAUGUCAAAACAAUUAUGCUUUCGUAGCACGUCAAAUCAGAAGUUAAUAAUCUAAGGGAUUAGCCGUAUGGUCAUUAUUAACGAAUCACUAUUAUUAACUCCUAAAUAAUUUCCGUAGUUUAUCAAUAAUAAAAGUAGAGCACUAGUACGUUGCACAAAGCUACGCUUCAGCUCCUGCUUUUUAUAUUGAAAAUUGUUGACGUCAAAUUUUAUACUGAUAUAGCUAGCGAAAAUGAAAACUUCGGAGAAUUAAAAAUGUAUUAGUAUCACUUGAAUAUUAAUGUAGCUUAGUUGUUUUAAAUUAUGGUUAAAAAGAAUCAUGAAGCCGUAUUUUUGGAUAACUGUACCUAUAUAAAUUUUUAUGUUGAAGUCUAAAAAUUUUAACUUGUAAAAGAAUUUAUUAAUUUGAUGUGCCAUCGAUCAAUAUAUUUUUAACAAGGAUCGGAUAUGUGAUAUAUAUCAAUGUUGUUCCUAGAUUCUGCGAGAAAUAUGUGGUUUUUCUAUAAUUAAUGGAUUAAUGUAAAAGUGUGUUAACAAUUUUUUAGGCUGGAAUAAGGUUAAUGAUUUUGAGAUUGUAAAAAAAAUAAAAAAAAAUGGAUUAAUAUCGUGAGAGAAUGAAUGCAAUUUUCAAAAAUAGGAGAAGGUAAACUUAUUUUCAUUUUUGGGGACAGAAGGAAUUAAAAGAAAUGAAAGGACAUCAAACACAGUGUAAAUUCAAGGAAAAGCUAGGGAUGUCAAUAUUUCUGGUUGAGAAUAUCCCUGUUACCCUAAAAUGAUCUAAUUUUAUAAAAUAAAUGGAAUUACAAGAACUUAACUUUACAAAGCAAAGUUUGUGGAACAAAAGUUAAAAGUAUAAUUGAAAAAAAAAUAUAUUAUAAGCUAAAACCCGAUUUAAAAAGUAUUGGCUAAAUGUAUUUUAAUUUGUUCUAGUAUAAAUGAGUCGCCGGAAAAGUAAUUUAUAGACGUUCGUCCCUCAUGAUUUUUCAUAAGAAGAGAGAGAAAAUAAAAUUGGAUGAUUAGGAGUAUUAUGUUGUGGUUGGAAUUUGACACAUAUAGCCUAAUGAAUAGGCAUUGGGUGACCCCCUCCACCAAAAAGAAGAAAAAAUAAAAUAAAAAAUAAUUAGUCAGUUAAUUUAGUUGAGAAGUAAAAACAGGAGAAAUUAAAGGGAUGGAUGGUUGAGUCGAAGAAUUUACUUGGGUUGGGUGGGCGUCGAGACGGACCCUCAACCUCAAGUGAUGUCAGUAGAAUAGAAUAGAAUCUCUCAUCAACAAAAAGCGAAGUGAGAAGAGAGAGAGUAAUUGUCGUAAUCAAAAGACCAAGACAAUAAAGCUGACACAGCCACCACUCCGCCACCAGCAGGCAGCCGAGCCGCCGUUGCCGGCCGCCAUCUCUGCGAGGGUGGGUGGUCCACCCCUCUACUGUCUCCUCUCCUCUCUUGUUCCUUUCUGCCUACACACCUACAAUUUUCCUUCCCCAAUCCAUCUUACGUGUUUCCUGCUGACAUUCUGAUCUGAGGUUAGUUAAUUUCAUGGAUUCAUCGCUCUCCUUUCAAUUAACACACACGACAAAUUAGGUUAAGGGUUUUUAAUUGGAGACAAAUCCUCAAUUUUUGCAAUCCCCUUUCUGAAGCUUGAUUGCAGAGCUGCAGUUUGUCUCCCUCCUCAGUUAUCAUGAUCUGCUACUAGAUCGAUCGAGAGAGAGAGAGAAAGAGAAAGCAAGCAAGAGUUGUGUGAGAAGUCCGUACAAAGCCAUCCCUCUUUUAUAUUCUCUCUUUUUCGUAAGUGUUAAGCUGAAGAAGAGAAAAGCCAAGGGGCAGGUGGCUCUUCCGCAAUGAUUUCUCUCUCAUAUAUAUGACCUUUUUCUCUCUCUCUAACUUAAUCUGCGAUUCCCGCAACUUUCAUUCCGGACAGUGGUAAAUCUGUGCAGAUUUCGUCGGUUUUGCACCAAGAUUUAUUCUUAAAAUUGGUUUGGCCUUUUCUACAUUAGAGGAUAAAUUAAACCCUGGGCUGGGCUUGGGUAGGUGGAGAAGAAAUCAAAGCUCAUGCACCAUUGCCUCUCCUAAUCCCAACAGACAACUCUGGAUUGCAUACAUAUCUCUUCCGUUGAAUAAUCUUUACCAGUUAAGCCCGCAUGCGCUCUUCUCUCUCUCUCUCUCUCUAUACACGCAAACUCACUGUUAUAUAUAUAUAUAUAUAGGCGCAGACAAAUAUGGAGCCGCGCAGAAAUGAUCAGGACAGACUGAAGCACCAGCAAGAUCACCGUGUGAAGCCUCCGGAGACGCAGCAGAUGGCGCCGCCGCCGCCGCAGAAGUGCCCGCGCUGCGACUCCGCCAACACCAAGUUUUGCUAUUACAACAACUACAGCCUCUCACAGCCGCGCUACUUCUGCAAGGCCUGCAGGAGGUACUGGACGCACGGCGGAACCCUAAGAAACGUCCCCGUGGGCGGCGGCUGCCGCAAGAGCAAGCGCCCCAAACCCUCCUCCGCCCCCUCUUCCUCCGCCGGCGAGAUCGGCCGCAGCAGUCAGCCCGCCAUCCCAUCUCAAAACCUGACGCCUUUGAAUUCGGGUCAGCAGCCAAUGAGGCCUUUCCCUCCGAUUAUGUCGUCCAUGGCCAACACCUUCUACAGCGGCGGCUCCUUUCUCUCCUCUUUGGCCGCCAUGCAAUCUUUAUCCACCGGAAUCAGCCAAGCCCCGGCGCUCAAUUUGGGCGGCGGAGGCGGAGGCGGCCAAUACGAUGCGCUUUUGCAAGGGGUGAGCCUUCCAUUGAAACCCCAGCCGCCGCCGCCCCACCAAUUUCAGCUGCAGAUUAAUGAUCACUACUUUCCAUCGCAACACAACUUGACUACACCGCCGCCGCGGCCUUCUUGGACUCAAAGCUUCAUCAAUAGAGGUCCGGCCGCAGCCGCCACCACCUCCGCCGCAAGCUCGAGUUUUUGGACCGGCGACGGCGACAACCAGGCCGGUUCUUCUUUCAACCCGAAUCACUGGCAAGAUAGCAACCCUGGGUUUGAUCCAUCUUCUCAGUGAAUUUUAGAAAUUUCUAGAUUUCUGUUGCACACACAUAUCUAUCUCGUUCAUUAUUAGGUUUCGAUCUCCCUUUUUUUCUCAAUCGAGUAUUUUUGGUUUAUAAUUUUUCUUGAAAAAAAAAAAGAAGAUGGGGUGUGUUUAGGUUGCAAACUAUGAAUUGCAGAAAAUUGUAAACGGAUUGGAUAUUUCUAAUGAUGCAGAUGUGUAUACACAAUGUUGUAAUUAACCAUCUUAUAGAGAUUCAGUUUAAGUUGGGUUAGGUUUGCAUGUUCAACUUUUUGAUCAAAAGUAUAUCGAGUUUAAUGUUAAUGCCUUUCGCUUUUUUGUUGCUUUAAUUCAAUUUUGACAAUAUAGAAUCUGAGUUAUACCACUUGGGAGAGCAGAGAGAGAGAGAGAGAGUGUGUGUGUGGUGUGUGUUUAAUUAGUUGGUUUUAAUUGUACGAGUGCUUUAUAAUUUAAGUAGGGGCUUUCGUAGACUGUGUAAAGUCUAAAAAGGGAGGCAUUUAAACCAAGAUAAGAGAAUAAUGCAUGAAUGGAUGAGCUCUAUGUCAGGCUAAAGCUAAAGCUAACGCCUUAAAGCUGAUGGAUAAGAUCGAUCAUUAUGUAAUUUGCUAUGCAUGCGCCUGCCCCUUAAUUCGACCGACAAAUUAACCGCAUACCCCUUAAUUACUUACUAACCUUAAUCAUCAACUCCCAAGUUCGAAUUAUUUAUAAUGUGGUAUGUGGUUUGGUUUGAUUUGAUUCAUAAUAUAUGCUCUCCGUAAGCCUUAUCCGUAUUUAUCUUCAGAUAAUCCUGCGAAGCUUGUUAAUUUUUUCAUGUGAUAAAAGUUUCUCUUUAUUUAUUUUUUCACUUUUUUACCUAUCACACUUAACAAAUUAAUCAUUAACUCCUUAAAAUCAAUUUUGAAAAGAAAAUGAUCAAGCUUCAGUGGAUAAUUAAUAAGAUAAAUCAAUUUGAUUAAAUAUUUGAUAUGUAUAAUUUCACUCAUAUAAUUGAAUUGAAUUGAUUAUUUAAUUAAUAAUUAUUUAUUAUCUUAAAAUUGAAUUGGUUAUUUAAUUAUCUUCGAAUUCAUAAUACAAAACUUUAAAAAUACUCUAAAAUUAUUAUGGGUUUGUUUGUCCAUAUAUAUAUAUAUAUAUAUAUAUAUUGACAUNNNNNNNNNNNNNNNNNNNNNNNNNNNNNNNNNNNNNNNNNNNNNNNNNNNNNNNNNNNNNNNNNNNNNNNNNNNNNNNNNNNNNNNNNNNNNNNNNNNNNNNNNNNNNNNNNNNNNNNNNNNNNNNNNNNNNNNNNNNNNNNNNNNNNNNNNNNNNNNNNNNNNNNNNNNNNNNNNNNNNNNNNNNNNNNNNNNNNNNNNNNNNNNNNNNNNNNNNNNNNNNNNNNNNNNNNNNNNNNNNNNNNNNNNNNNNNNNNNNNNNNNNNNNNNNNNNNNNNNNNNNNNNNNNNNNNNNNNNNNNNNNNNNNNNNNNNNNNNNNNNNNNNNNNNNNNNNNNNNNNNNNNNNNNNNNNNNNNNNNNNNNNNNNNNNNNNNNNNNNNNNNNNNNNNNNNNNNNNNNNNNNNNNNNNNNNNNNNNNNNNNNNNNNNNNNNNNNNNNNNNNNNNNNNNNNNNNNNNNNNNNNNNNNNNNNNNNNNNNNNNNNNNNNNNNNNNNNNNNNNNNNNNNNNNNNNNNNNNNNNNNNNNNNNNNNNNNNNNNNNNNNNNNNNNNNNNNNNNNNNNNNNNNNNNNNNNNNNNNNNNNNNNNNNNNNNNNNNNNNNNNNNNNNNNNNNNNCAUACAUAUUAGGCAUUUUUUAUUAAAAGACAAGUAUAAUAGUAAUAAUAACAAACAAUAUUUCAUAGAUUAUAUAGUUUUAAAUAACAGAAUUAUCCUUAAAUUAAGUAUAUAUGAGAUAAUAUAAUAACCAAAUACUCUUUUAUAAAUAAAAUUAUUAUAUAUAUAUAUAUAUAUAUAUAUAUAUAUUUUUUUUUUUAAAAAAACUCAAAAUUUGGGAGGGGGCUCUAGCCCCCCGGCUCCGUCCCUGAUUUAUAAUGAAAUAUCACAUUAUAAAAAAUAGGAUAUUUGUAACGGGACGGGGAGAGACUAAUAACCAUCCCUACGUAGCGAAUUUCUGGCUCUAGCAAUAAACUGAUCGUACUUGUUAAUUAAUUUGUAUACAAUCAAACACUCAUUGUGGGUGCGUGUAAGCUUUUACAUCUAAGAUACCCGUUUUUUCUUUUUCUUUUUCAAAAAAUUAUACACGUUUUCAUUAAUUACAUGAAGAAAAUAUAUUUAUUUAAACAUACGCCUAGAUGAAAGGGUUUAAAUGACAAUCCAUAUUUAUUGUGAGAAUCGAGAUUUAUCUGUACUCAAUUGUUAAGAUUUAUGGUGAAUAUACCAUUUUAAUGUACAAAUAUAGCAUUAGAAUUCAAAUCCCAUGAAGAAUUAAAAUUCUAUUUAUUUUUUAGUGUAAUUAAUUUCAUAACGAAUCCAACGUAACGAUGUUAUAUAUACAUGAAUGCGAUAUUCUAUAUCUGUGAUUAUUAAUUAAUAAGUUGGCAGUAAUUUAGAGGACCGAGUCCGACUUUGUAAUGUUCCUCAGCUCAUCACACAUUACAUGCCUUCUCAUUCCCACCUAAUACACUAGAAUUCACUGACGACAGAUCAUGCAAAAAUGCUUUAAUUAAAACAAGAAUUAAUGUCGGGACGGGUAGAUACCUAAACCAUUAGCUCUUAAUUUAUAAAUCAAUUAUAGUAUAUAACUAAAGUCCAUCAAAUCGUUGAUGGUAUGCCUCAAUACAUCAUUUUUCACUUUUUUAUAGUACAAAUUAAAAAUAAGGGUACGCUUAACUACGAUGAUGCUGAAGGAAUGAUUGAGGAAACUUAUAUUUGGAGCAACUAUAUUUUUGUGUAUUAAGAUACAAUAUCAAAGAAGCUGGAUUUGAAUAUAAAAUUAUUAUAUGUGUGUGCGUGUUGUGUGUGCGCGCACAAAAAAUGUACUAAGAUUUUUGGAGAUCUGAGAACAGCUUCGAUCAAUUAUUCUGUGAAUGUCGGCAGCAUAUGUAGCUCACUUAAUUGGGCCACUUAAAGAAUGUAUUAAAAUAUGCAUAAGUAGCUGAUCUUCGCAAAAUUUAAUAUAAAAAAUGUCAAACGUAAAUUAAUGAACAAAUAUAUACCCGCAGGAACAAAAAAUAGGAAAGCAUAUUUGCCAUCUGAGGGAGUACAUUUUAUAUUAAAGGGUUUUUGACAUAUACAAUUACAAAUUUUUUCAAAAUUGUAAUUUUAGCUUGAUUUUUGAAGUGUGGCAAAUUAAAUCACCAGAUUUUUAGUUUUUAUAAUUCCGUCUCCCCAAUUUUUUUGGAUCGUCGGAUUGUUGAAUUGAAGUUUAAUUACGUAAAUUUGUUCUCUACGUAAUAUUUAUGUUACAACAUCGUUUGUCAUAAAAUUGCUGAAUAUUGAAAAUUAUGGUGCAAAUACAGGAUACAAUUUUCUUUACAAUUUGAAUAAAUUUUUAAUUAAAAUUGUACAGAACGAUAUCGUUUAGGCUUCACAAAAAUGAUGUCGUCAUCUUUAUUAAUCCAUGCAAUUAAGGUCCAAUUCAACAUUAAUUCUGACGACCAAAAAAAAUUAAGGGAAUGAAAUUGUAAAAAUAGAAAAAGUGAUGAUUUAAUUCGCCACGUUUCAAAAAUUACGUUAAAAUUACAAUUUUAAAAUAAUUCGUGAUUUUAUUUGUCAAAAUUCCUAGUAUAUUAAAUUGUCCAAUUGGGACCUGUCGCAUAAGUCCAUUAAUGAUAUAAUUUCUGCAGAUAUUGGAAUGUUGCAUGUAUAAACUCUUUCGAGACGAUUUACAUAAGAUGAGAGAGACAGAGAGAGAGAGUUUUAGAAGUCCAAUCUCCAUUAAAAUCCCUAUUAUAUAGAGAGCUAGAUGACAAUGGGUGGUGGAGAGAGCAAUGACAAGAUGAUAUAGCCCAUAGGUAGCCAACAAACUAAAAUAAUUUUAAAAAAAGGCAGAUUAAAGCAUGACAUAGAUAUGAUUGUGUGGCAAAAUCUUCCUUUUUCAUUACUUGCAACUUUAAUUUUCUUCAUUUUUUUUUCCUUUUUAUUGCUUUCCAAGAGAUUGGUGACAAGUGCACCAAAGGAACAAUCCAGUGUCUACCUUUACCACUACCAUUCCAUGUACAUUACUACUUCACAUUGGAUUCUGGGUCCAUAUUUUUCCCUCUUCUUUCUUCUUUGUUAAUAAAUAUUCAUUUUUUCCCAUUAAUUCAUAUGGCAUGCACAAUUUAAGGGACCCAACUGUCUCGGGGAAAUUUUUAAUCUGUUAAUUAACUAGGUAUAUAAUUAGACAUAGUCCACUUAAAUUCAAGAUGACUCAUCAUUAUUCUGCUUUCCAAGUUAAUAAAAUGUGAUUUCCGCCACCAUAAAUGACUCCCUUGCAAUAAGAGUUCUUAUUUUUCAACUCCUCAUGAUGAUUUCAACCCCAUAUAUAGUUUAAUUUAUCUACGUAUAUAUACUUUGUUGUUACUGAAUCAAUCACGAGCAAUUGUAAUUUUCGAAAUCUCCUUAUAUAUUUUAAGAUCCGAGCAUCCGAUUAUUAUUAUUAUUAUUAUUAUUAUUAUUAUUAUUAAAAAGGUACUUGCAUUGAAAUUAGUCGAAACAAGCGGAAAAUUACAAGUCUGAGCGUCCCAUUAUAUUUUUGUAAAUAAAUAGAGAGAUUAAUUAAUUCUCAUUAACCAUAAUCACGAAUCGCCGGUGUGCUAAAAAAAAUCGCCGGUAAAUUUCAGUCCAUUUAAAUUACCUCAGAUUUAAAAUGUUAACUAUAUGUCAUGAUUAAUUAGUUUUUCCAUUCGGAAAACCUGAGAAGGGAAUUUAGUAGCGAUUUUAACAUUGAGUGCAUUUUAAUAUACAUCUCUUCUUCCAUUUGUCCUAUUUACUUUCACUGUAAUCAAACUUUAAUUCAAAAGCGAAUUUUCACUAGAAAAAGACAAUUCAAUAUGAUGAAAGAGAGCACCCGGUAUAAUUUGGUCGUCGGUCUUUGGUCAAUUUGAUUCUGUUAUAUGAUUAUAUACUUUUUAUUUAGCCAAUCAGAUAAAACCAUUUUACACCAAUUUUAAAAGCCUUAGCUUUUUCAAGCCACACUGUUUUCUACUUUUUGGUCAUGUGUGGUGCCGAGCGAUAUGAUUUUAAUCCGUUUCUAUAUAUAUAACCAGUAACCACACUACAUUAUUUACUCAGAAAUUAUUUAGUUGUCUGAAUCAUGCACUAAGCUAUCACCCCCACGUGUCACGGCUUUCGAACUCUCUUCAACUUUAAGUCUUCAUCUUCAUCAUAAAUAUCAUCAAUCAAGCUCAUAAUGUACUCAACAAUCCUAUCCUAUACAAACUAAUUAUGACAACUCAUUUUUCAUUUUCUUUAAUGCUUCUGCUGAUUGCUGAUUAAUUAGCUUCUUAAAAUGUCUUCUCGAUCUAAAUUUGAGCAAUAAUUCUGCAAUUCUUACUUUCUAUUGAACCGAAAAUAUAUAGAAUUUAGAUUUUGAUAUCAAUUCGUGCAAAUCGAAUUAUGAGCUUAUGAUCCAUCUACCAUUGAGAAAAACUGUGGAGAAAUUACAAUGCUAGGAAGGUCAUUAAUAUUUAAAUAUGAUUGUUAGAAAAUGUGUGUCGAAAAUGGAUUAAAAAAAAAUUAAAGUUAGAGCGUUGGACUCGAAUUUGUGGGCUCAUAGCGUGAUUAGAGAGAUGGAGUGAUUAAGGAUAUGUGGGGGCCAUAUAUGUUACGAGGAUUAGCAAAGCCAACGAAGCACACCAUCUUCUACUUUCUUACCUUGCAAAAGUGCUGAAAUAUGCAUUGGCAAAUUAAAGAGAAAGUGCCUCGCAUCUACCAACGUGUAUCUUUGUUUUGUGCUAAUAUUAUUCGUUAAUUAAUAUAUACAUUGAUCUAUAUGUUUCGAAACUAUAUAUAGUUUUCAACGUUCUCAUAAAUAGAUCAUUUAUUUAUAUAGGAAGCAGAGGAAAGUAUGUGUCAAUCUUACCUUUUGAAUUCUGUUAAACACUUUUAUAUAGUAAAAAAAAAUAAGUACAUUCUUAUUAUGGGACCGAGAAAGUAUAAUAGUAUUUGUUUAUAACCACGUAGUAUAUUCCAGUAUAGGAAAUGAUAUUGAAAGAGCGAAACUAGUAGUUAAAGAAUUAGAGAAUAAAACCAAUGUCCUUUAUUUGUAGAAUAUAUUUACAUCGUGUGGGGGAAGUCCAUUUUUAGUCAUAUUUAAUUAUUGAAUAGAAUUACCACUUGCGGCUUUACUCAAUUGAGAAUAGACCCGAAAAAAAACCUAAGGGGGUGUUUGGUUAUAUUUGUAGUUGUAAUUUUCAAUUUCCAAAUAUUUCUAAUGCAAUUUACGAAGCGUGUGUUGAUUUUUCACAAAGGUGAUGACUUCGUUGUGACAACUGAAGAUUAAUUAAAUACUNACGGAGGGGAGUAAGAGUUAUAGGCUUGAAAACUGAAUAUAUGUUUCUAUGGCAAUUUUUUUUUAAAAUGCACAUGAUUAAAUUUAUAUGUAUUCCAUAAAGAAUUUAUGAAUUCAUAAUUUGUAUUUUGUAAAGGGUUUUUUGCCUAUCAUUCCCUAUAUGUAUACAUAUUUAUGUACAGCUUAAAUGUAGAAAUAUUUCCCUCAAGCAAGUGUAAAAAGUAUGUAGAAUUAUAAAGGGUCAACUGGACUCCAUUCUUAUGGAUUAUUACUUUAUUCUAGGCCCAAGCUAACCAAGCGAAGGCCCGUAUAAAGUUGUUCUUAUCCUGCAAAACUUGGAGCGGCCUGGCCCAAUAAACCCCCGCCAUUUAUGAACUCAUUUUCAAGCUCAAAAAACCUACUAUGAUUCAAUUCAAUUCCAAGAAAGAAAAAAAAACUAUAUGAUUUUGUUAGAAAUUAUGUGCUACCCAUCGCGGUAGUACUCCCCAUGUGCAUAUAUUGUGGGCAAGUACAAACAUAAUAGGUGUAGAAAACGAAAAAUCUAGUCUUGCAUGCGCAUUUCUUUUUCUAAAUAUAGACCAAAAGAUACAUAUCUAGGCAAGACUAUUACUCCGUUUUCUUACAUCACUUUACUUUUACGUAUUUGCCCAUAAAUUACCCAAAAUAUGAAUGCACAUAUAUGGAGGCAAUACCUCAAUGGCUAGCAUAGGAUUUUUGUUUGAUUUGACAAAUAAUGUAGAUAGGAAUGGAAUAGCAUUGAUGGCCGAAAAAGAUGAAAAGGGAAAUUCCACUUGGAUUCAGGAUUUCAACAUGAAACAUCUCCACUCAAAAAAAAAAAAAAAAGAACUAUAAAACAAAAACAAAACACGAAACAUCACCUUUAAUUAGUAAAAAGGAGGACUCGUUUUCGGUAAGCUCGCGACUUUAUACUUGAUAUUAAUGAUAGUUUUGAAAAUUUUAUCUAAUGUGCAUUAAUACACGUAGUAAAAAUAUUAAUGAAUACGAGUACAACAUUAUGUUAUAUGUAGGAAGAAAAAUGAAUCGAGAAAAGAGAUUAUCACUGCACAUUGCACAUAUAUAUAUAUAUAUAUAUAUAUAACAUUAAUUAUGAAGACAUAGAUGAUGUAUAUUAAAGUGAUGAAGCAAAGUAACACUAAAAUCAUAUAGUAAUUAAAUAUCAUUGUCACCCUUGUGCAUCCUAUGCUGCUACAAUCCGAGGUAAAAAGUUUUAUGGGUAGAAUUCGAAAACUUUUUCCCGGAUUUCGUAUUAAAAUAGUUGUAAUUCAUUAAUUAACACUUAAUUAAAUCUCUUUAACACUGCAGUUUGGAUUGUACCCGUAUAUCAUCACACAUGAGGACCACUAAUUAUAUCAACUACUAUAUCUUAUAACUGAGAUUCAUGUAAACCAAUAUUAAAUAGCUGUACCACUGCAAAUUAAACUACGUAGUUUCAUAUUAGUUAUUUAAACAAGAAUAACACGGCACUAUAUGCGAAUUACUUUAAAUCUCCAAAACAAAUUAAGCUAAUUAAGUGAACUCGUAGGAAAGAAACGAUCCAGCAACUGCAGCUAAAUUAUCAGGAAUUUUUCUUUUCAAAAAAUGUGAUUUGUGAUUAACAGAAUGCAGAUACGUUAGAACUGAAAAGGAAAUAACAUUAACCUCUCUCUUGUAUACCAUUAUAGUUCCCCCAAACCGAAAAUCAACAAAUUCUUAAAGAAAUACAGACACUUUUCCAAUUGCUUCAUCAACAUGUAAAUGUAUUAAUCUAAGUAAACCCCAAUUCCAAAAACCUGAUACACAAACUAAACAAAUACACCAAAAAAAAAAAAAAAUGUCAUGAUAAUAUAUAUACAUAUAAAUUUAGGUUUUAGGUAUUCAUGAAGCGAUAAAAUCUGAGAUAACAAUGUGGUCGAAUAAGAAACCUGUUCCGAUGAGAAGAAGAGGAUCCGAGGUUCCUCUCAGCGCAAAAUAGCCUUCCAUGUAAAAAAUUAAGCAGGCUCGAUUUGGUUGCUGCUGACAUGAUCACUCCGAUCCUAAUACUCUCCUUCCAUCCUUAACCAACAUUCUCAUAUUUCCAUUCCAGUAUUCAUCAAUGCCGGAAUUUCAGAAAAAAAAACCCAUAGAAAAAGAAGAAAAAAAGGCUAUACCCCAGCUCCGAUGAUAAAAAGAAAGAUCCUGCACCCAAUCAGUUAAUGAAUGAUUAAAGAGAGAGAUUAAACGAAGAAGAUCAAUGGAAGCUUCUAGAUGAGAGAUGGCACGGAGGAACCCAUGGUUGAAGGGUCAAACCAAGCACCGACGCUGCUUGUGUUCCAUACGAGAGAGGAUGGAUCAGAAGAAUUAAUCUGAUCGAUAGGGUUGGUGUUUAGGUUCGGAUUCUGGUUCUGGUUCGGGUUCGGGUUCCAAGCCAUUCUAUGCAUAUUCUCUCCUUCCGCUUUCACUUGCUUGCCCAUACCCGGAUCCUCGUAAUGGAUCAAACCGGGAGCGCCGAAUUUGUGGGUGGAAGCCAGCAGAGACGCCAUUGUUGAAGCGGAGGAAGAUCCGAAGAAGAUUGAGUUGGAGUUACUGUUUGCAGGUGAUGAGAAAGGUGACGACGAAGCCUCCUGGAUCGGCUUGAACCCGUUUUUGAAGGCGUUUUCGGCCGACCCGAGCCCGGAUGAAAACCCUAACCCGAGAGGGUUGAUUGGAGGGUCGUAGUCAUCUGAAGAAACCCUAAAGCUGGAAAACGGGAAGUUGAGCUCUAGAGGGUUAGUGUAAAACAAAGGAGGCUGAAUAUGGUUGGAAGGGGCGGGGGCAGAUCCAUGUGGGGUUGGGAGGCGGCGGCGGCGGCGUCGGAGUGGCGCUUGGGGCGCUUGUUCUUGCGGCAUCCGCCGCCGACGGGGACGUUGCGGAGGGUGCCGCCUCUGGUCCAGUAGCGCUUGCAGGCUUUGCAGAAGUGGCGCGGCUGAGACAAGCUGUAGUUGUUGUAGUAGCAGAAUUUGGUAUUGGAGGAAUCGCAGCGGGGGCACUUGAGAGGGUGGGGAUCAGGUUUUUCCAUUACUUUAUUUGUUGACGAUGAAGCCAUGAAGCUUUUGUGAUCAUCCAGUAUUAUCUGAUUCUGAGCAAACAAAGAGAAAGAAAGAAUUCGAGAUGGGCUGCUUUUAGGGUAAAAAUUAACUACACAAUACGGAUAUUCUUGGACAAAAGCUAUAAAACAAAAGAUGGGGUCGUCUUUGUUAGCGUAAUAAUUGAGACAAUGAGAGAGAGAGAGAGAGGGUAACCUGUGGCCAUUGAUUAGUGGUGGAAGAGAUGGGAGUGAUGAUCUUGUUGUCACAGUUUCCUAGCAUUUUUGGUCUUUCACACUAAGAGGAAUCCUUUGAAACAAAGAGUAUCAAGACAAGGAGCAGGUGACGACGUGAGAACUCUCGUUUGCGUUGACGCCCUUCAAAUGUUUUUCAAAGGAAUUGAUCAUUGUUUUAAUUCGUUUCGUUCUUUAAUUGAUUUAUUUAAUUAGCUUCACGUGAACCUCCGAGAGCAUCACUUCAAUUACUUUUACACUUUUCGGGACUUAACCAGAAUUAUUACAAAUUAAUGCUUUUCGCCAAUAGACUCUCAUCAUAUUUUAAUUAAUUAGUCGGCCUAAUAUAUAACCCUUUUUUCCGGAAUUUGAUUCUUGUCAUAUGUGAUUUUUAGAUAAUGUCUUUUUUUUUUUUCCUCUCUCUCCCUCUCCCUCUUUCACUAUAUAUAGAUAGUGUAAGGAGUUCAUUUAUGAGAAUAGUCAUUGUUAUAUCAUAGACACAAAAGAUAGUUAUAAAAAAUUAAGCAUAAUUAUGUUUAGCUUAUAAUAUUAUUUUAUCCUUAAUUGAUAAAAUCAAGACCAAAUUCACCACAAAAUAUAUUCUUAGUCUUGGAUUGCUCUUUAAAUAAGGCAAUUUGCAACCAAUAAUAAAUUUGAUUAUAAUAAAGCAAUUCACGACUAAACCUUUUCAUGGUUGUGAAUUGUCUGUUUAAAGAGCAAUUCACAACGUAACAUAUAUUGAUAGUAAAUUAAGAGGCAAAAUAGUAAGAAUGAUUUCAAAAAGACUAUUUUAUUAAUUAGUGUAUAACCCGUCGAAACUUGACGGGUCAUUAUUUGCUAGUAUAAUUUAUAAUAAAUUUUAAUGUUAAUUAUAUUGGUGAUAUAUAUAUUAUUAUUUUAAUUUGAUAUUAUCUGUAGAAAUUUUAGGGUGACAUAUUUUUUUAUAUCUUUAUUCUAUUAUAUAAUGAAUACUUAAACAAUUAUUAGUGUUAUGUACGACUAUUUUAUUAAUUAGUCCGUUCUAAUAUAUAUUUAUUCUGUUAUACAUGUAUUGUUGUAUCAAUAAUGAAAUUAAUUAUUUUCUAGUUUAAAUUUUUUAAUAACAUGAUUAUUAUUUGAUUAAUUAUCAUUGAUGUAAUAUACAAUUUUAUGAUAUGUAUUUUGUAUCUAAAAUAAAUAGUACUACUACCUACGCUUUGAAAUAUAUAGGCAUAUAAAUUUAUGAAAGAAGAUGAUUUAUUGGAGAAGGAAAUUCACCUAAAAUAGGAUUUGAGUAUUUUAGUAUAAAAUUGCAAAGAGGGAGAAUGUAGCAGUAGUGUAGGGCGACAUUCUUAGCGAGGAAGAGGACAGAGAAAAAAAGGUGCAACAUACGACAGAGAAAUCUCGAGAAGCUCAAGAAUGUAAAAGGAAGAGAACAAUUUCCAUGGAAUUUGCAGACGCAUAUCACAGCUAAGCUAGAGCUACUCACUNNNNNNNNNNNNNNNNNNNNNNNNNNNNNNNNNNNNNNNNNNNNNNNNNNNNNNNNNNNNNNNNNNNNNNNNNNNNNNNNNNNNNNNNNNNNNNNNNNNNNNNNNNNNNNNNNNNNNNNNNNNNNNNNNNNNNNNNNNNNNNNNNNNNNNNNNNNNNNNNNNNNNNNNNNNNNNNNNNNNNNNNNNNNNNNNNNNNNNNNNNNNNNNNNNNNNNNNNNNNNNNNNNNNNNNNNNNNNNNNNNNNNNNNNNNNNNNNNNNNNNNNNNNNNNNNNNNNNNNNNNNNNNNNNNNNNNNNNNNNNNNNNNNNNNNNNNNNNNNNNNNNNNNNNNNNNNNNNNNNNNNNNNNNNNNNNNNNNNNNNNNNNNNNNNNNNNNNNNNNNNNNNNNNNNNNNNNNNNNNNNNNNNNNNNNNNNNNNNNNNNNNNNNNNNNNNNNNNNNNNNNNNNNNNNNNNNNNNNNNNNNNNNNNNNNNNNNNNNNNNNNNNNNNNNNNNNNNNNNNNNNNNNNNNNNNNNNNNNNNNNNNNNNNNNNNNNNNNNNNNNNNNNNNNNNNNNNNNNNNNNNNNNNNNNNNNNNNNNNNNNNNNNNNNNNNNNNNNNNNNNNNNNNNNNNNNNNNNAUUCAAAAGUUCAUCGUCGUUUGAAUAUAUUAAAUUGAUAAAUUAGUACAUUUACAUUAAAAAAAAGGUUACUAUUUCUAACUUUUUUAUCUUUAUGGAUAAAUUUUUUGUUGCCACAUGAAAUAGGUUAGAGUAGUAUAUCAGCUAUAUACUAACUUUUUUCAUCUUUAUGGAUAAAUUUUUUGUUGCAACAUGAAAUAGGUUAGAGUAGUAUAUCAUAUAUAUACUAGAGAGAGAGAGAGAAAAUUCAUUGAGAAAUCUAUGUGUUGAGACUUGAAAAUUGAGAAUCUGAUUUCAUGCGAUUUGUAUUAAUAAAAAGGAUACAAUGGUAAAAUACUUUAUAAACUUAAUCGUGAUUUACUAUAAUUAAGCGAAAACCAAUCUAUUUAUAUUUGGCAGCUUAUUAUCAUGCGCAUCUCAUCGUUAUGCUCAGCAAUUAUUUAUCUCCUAAUUAAAUCAAAAUUAUUUGCACAGGCAAAUCAAUAUCAUUCAUAUUGUUUUCUCAAAUUCAUCAAUGGCUUCAUCAGGUAUGUUGUUGGUGUUUAUUUCUUAAUGUUUCAUAUUUUCAGAAAACAUCCAUACAAUCACCAUCGAUGAUGUGGCUGAGUUGUGUUUUCCCGCUUGCGAGGAUUUAUUUAAACCAUAUAUUGGACAUAUAUAUGUUUGAUAACUAAUUACCCGAAGGAAUUAAAUUUUAUAAGAAUAUUUAUGUUGCUGCAUGUGGAUUUCAGGUUUGUAUGAUCACCUUUAUAUUGGUAUAAUUCGAACUAGAUAUCUUUUACUAUAUAACAGAGAAUGAGUAUAUAUGGGGGGAAGUCGCAUGAGCUACUUAUGCUUAGCAAAAAUACAAAAACAAAUAAACGAAAAUACAAAAACAAAGAGAACGAUGUGUGUGGCUAAUUGUAUCGAUAGAGCUAUUUUUCGAAUUGCCUCAGGCGAUCGUUACAGGCUUUAUACAUUUAACGAAGGUCAUACUUAUGAUUAGUAUUAGGAAAGUUGACAAUCUUCAUCAAAUGUUUAUUCAUAUUAAUUCUUAUUUUCACAAUAUAUAAUCAUUCUCAUUGGAACCAAUAUGACCAAAUAUUAAUCGUCAUGUAUGCUCCGUUUUUAUUUUAGUAGUGAGCGAAAAGACUAUACAAAGCGUGAACUAAAUAUAUUGUACACCUAUUUAUGGAUUACUAAAUAAAAUUAUGAAUUAUUAAAUUCUAAUUAAUACCUAAUUAACUACCUAAUCACAACCUAAAUAUUACUACCUCUGUUCCAUUGACUCACUUUUCAUUUUCGUUUGCCCGAUUGAUAAUGAUCCAUUUCAAAAAAGAAAAUUAUAUUCUCUCAUAAAAAAGUUCUAGACUCCACCGAUUUAUAUCACUUUUAUUAUUUAAUCAAUAUUUUUCUUAAUAAUCGUGUCGAACAGUACUGAAUCAUUAUCAAUGGGAGAUAGGGAGUAUUAAUUGAGGAAUGCGGAUAUCCGCAAGCUAUACCCAAGUUCUUGUCAUAAAUAUUACUGAACACAAUGUAAUUUACAUGAUAAAUCACAAGACAAUAUGCCCCGACUUUGAUAAUUGUACGACCAAAUUUCCUAAUGUAUAUUUACUUAAAACUGUCUUCUCAUUUUUUUUUCGUCAAUGAUAUAUUUUUAGGUUGGAGAAGUAUUGUUGGACCCAUGAUUCUGUUUGGUUAAUCUUUCAUAAAAGAUAAAUAAGAUUUUAUUUUAAAUCUGUACGGCAUGCAAUAAUUAAAAUGAAAUAGGUCAUUUUUAAUUUUGAAAAAAAAAAGUAUGAGUUGAUUUGAUGGCAUGUUAGAUGUUACAAAAUUAAGGGCGAAGUUGUAACUUCCACACUGCAAAUUAAGUAUAAGUCCUUUUUCACGUCUUUAAAUAAAGCCGAAUGCGACAGGAAUUUCCAAGUACGUCUGAUAACAAAGGAAGAAUUGAUCCAACUUUGCAGAAACGUGGCUCUCAUUUUAUUUAUUGAUUAAAAAUUAUUAAAAAAAAUCAGACACCAAAAUCGAAAGAGAGAAAUGGACCCCAUGUGAAUGGUGGUGCAUGUCUACAUCUAAUUCGUACCCAUUUGUACAUUGACCAUACUUUAUUCACUGCAUAUAUCGUCAACCCACAAUAAAAACCCAAAAACUAAUUAACCAUAUUUACCAAAUUAAAGAUAACACUAUUUAAUUAUUUAGAUUAUUAGGAAGAUCGAAGUGGGCAUAUAAACAUAAGCACGAGGUCCCAUGUGGUGGCAGCUCAUCUCCAAUUAAAACCCAAAAGCUGUGAGAGAAUUCAACCAACAGAUUUUGUAGUCCCCCUAGAGAUUUUCUCAUUCUCCUAACUAUUCCAUCAUUAUACCUAAGUAUCAUUCUUCUUCUUCUUCUUCCAAUUAUUAAUAUCGGCUAUGUUUUUGGCAUACUAAUGCCAGACGUUUAAUUACUCUCUCCGUUCACCUGC